rnacentral:lncRNA from 1 species
GAAACAAAAAGUUGAGUGAAUUGUUUUUAGGUUACGCAAUUUUUUUUAGGUUUAAAAUAUUUUGAGAUUGCUUUUGAUCGUGCAAUAUACGGAUUCGUUAGUGCCAGAUUAAUUUAUUGAAAAGUUGUUCCUCCUUCUUUUUCUUUAUUUUAUCAAUACCCUAAGAGAUCUAAUAUCGUAUGCAUCAAUUAAGUAUCUUCUUUUACAUUAUCGGUGGAUCCAUUAUUUUUUUAUAUUUAUGGAUAGUAAGAGAUCUCACCGAACUUGAUGCAGCUGCAACUACGUUACAACGGUGUACAAGAGUUACAUGACCAGAAGGAAUUUUGCAGAUUGUGCCAUCGUUGUUGAGGAGCUCUGGUGAGUUACUUGAUCCAUCUUCUUCUUUUUAAUUUCUUUUAAAGAUGUUUAGACUAACCCUAAUUGGUAUUGCUUGAAAUGUUGUAGGUGGAAGACUCUAGAGGGUGAUGCUCUGGAUUUGAGCUAUGUUCUUUUUUUUUUUAUAAGAAGAGAAACAUGAGGCGAUGUUUCGAAAUGGGCGCGAGCUAGAAAACGAGGUGCUAACGUCUGACAUCAUUUUAUCUCUGUUUACUUAUAACUCAAGGUGUUGUUAGUAUAUCUAUAUCUCUCUUUAUUAUGAAAAACCAACGUGAAUCUCACUCUUUAGGUUGGGAAAGGCUUAUCUAAAGAUGAAAAGACUCAAAAAUUAGCUCUUUAGCAUUGGCUUGAAGUUGUAAGUCCCCAUAUCUUUUUGUAACUUUUUAUCAAAGACAAGCUAAGUACAUGUGAAGAAACAAAUCUAUGUGUUUAGUAGCAAAACACAAGAUCAAGAGUUAUUAGUUCCUUUUGGUUUCGUUGAUCUAUUAUAAUCUAAUGACCAUCUAAUAUAAUGACCCCUCUCUUGAAAUUACAGAUUGACCCACAUCAUCGUUAUGGCCACAACUUGCACUUCUAUUAUGAUGUCUGGUCAGCGAGCAAGAGCUCACAUCCAUUCUUUUACCGGUACGGACUUAGAUCCAAUAUCCAUCUUUAGAUCCUCCUAUCUUGAAUGUGUUCUAAACUCUGUUUUCACUGAUUUGAAACUAAAUGUUGGAUAUAGGAGACGGCAAAGAUGUAAAUCUUGAGGAACACCCGAGAAGUGUUCUGCAAAAAUAAUGCAUUAGAUGCUUGGGACUGGUGAGCUUUUUAUCUGAUUUGACUCGACCAUAAUGAUUAGCUAUAACUCUUGAAUACUCAAUAACCUCUGUGUUUCUUUGAAACACGCAGAUGGAGAGAGAAGCAUAUAAAAUAAUAGUGGAAGAUGGGAGACUAAUUUAUAAAUAGGGCGUGACUCUGAUUAACUCAACAGAGGAAGCCAAGUCGAUUUUUGUACUUAGUAAAAUAAACAAUUUGAAUAAAAGACGACGGCAGAAGCUCGAGACGAGUCGUUUCAGCCGUCACCAGAGACUAAUGAAAGUCAUGCUGAAGUGAAAGAAACACACUACAUAAGAUAUAUAGAGAUAGUUCAAAGAAUGUAAAUUUUAAAAGAUAAUUAAAGCUGCCAUUUAUCUCUAUCGUGAUUGAAAAUAUUUAAAACUUUAACAAAUCUUUAUGAAAAGAAAAUAAUAUAAGUUGACUUUCCGAAAAUUUGAUAUGUCAAAAAGGUAAUCUUAUUACUUUGUGUUCAAGGCAACAAUAUAUAUAAGUAUUAAUCUUUUGGAUUUUCCGGUUUACUUAAGAGUCACGUUUCUGAUAUCACUUUUGCUUUGUCUUUGUGUUAUCAUCAACCGGAAUCAGCCAUGGUGAAUUAUAUAGUGAAGCAAUACAAUGUUGCAAUGGAAGGAGAUACGACAUUGGUCGUAGUGGAGAGCAUUGGUAUACGGAAUAGAAAAUGAGUCAAGAUCAUUAGUGAUUCAAAAUUGGUCAAUUAAAUUCCGAUAUAUAAUGGUUGGUCCAUCAUGUAUAUUUUAUUUUAAAAUUAAUAUUAAAAUUAUUUGAUAACUGUUGACAAAAAAACUACAAUAUAGUUAAGUUACUUUAGAAAAAAACCUUCAUCCUGCAGAAGAUACAAAAUUUUAUUAUUAAUUUCUAACUGAAAUUGAAAACCUGGUCCAACCGGUUUAACUUGAUCAACAUGAUAACAAAACAAGAGGAGCAAAGUUGAUGGUUUUCUGAAGUCUGUUGAAAGAGAUCUUGAUAAACGUAGAAAUCAUUUGCUGAUUGAUGAGUUUGGCUAUAACCAUGAUAACAAAAAAAUGGAGCAAAAGUGACGGUUUUCUACAGUGUAAUGAAAGAGCUCUUAAAAAACGUAAAAAUUAUUUUCUCAUUUAUGAGUUUAGCCAUAACAAUGAUAACAGUAUAACAUAGACAAAAUUGACGGCUUUCUGUAGUCCGAUGAAAGAGAUCUUGAUUAACAUAUAAAUUAUUUGAGGAUUGAUGAGUUUGGCUAUAACAAUGUUAACGAAAAGAAUGAGCAAGAUUGAUGGUUUUGAUGCAGGCUCACGAAAAAGCUCUUGAUAAACGUAGAAAUCUUUUGUUGAUGAUGAGUUUGGCUAUAACCAUAAUAACAAAAAAGAAAGAGCAACAUUGACAGCUUUUGGUAGUCUUAUGAAAGAGAUCUUGAUAAACGUAGAAAUUAUUUGCCGAUGGAAGAGUUUUUCUAUAAAUAUUAUAACCGAAAAAUGGGUAAAAUUGUAGGUUUUCUUCAACUUCAUGAAAAAACUAUCGAUAAACGUAGAAAUCAUUUGCUAAUGAUAAAUUUGGCUAUUACCAUGAUAACAAAAAAAGAGAGAGCAAAGUUGACUGUUUUCUGCAGUCUUAUGAAAGAGCUCUCGAUAAACGUAAAACUCAUUCGCUAAUUGAAGAGUUUUACAAUAACCAUUAUAACGAAAAAUGAACAAAAUUGAAGGUUUUCUGCAGCCUGAUGAAAGACCUCUUGAUUAACUUAGAAAUUAUUUGCUUAUUGAUGAGUUUGGCUAGUCAUGAUAACAAAAAAAUAGGAGCAAAAUUGACAUUUUUCUACUGUCUAAUGAAAGAGCUCUUGAUAAACGUAGAAAUCAAUUGUUGAUUCAUGAGUUUGGUUAUAACAAUGAUAACAGUAAAAGAGAGCAAAAUAGACAGUUUUCUACAGCCUGAUGAAAGAGGUCAUGAUAAAUGUAGAAAUCAUAUACCAAUUGAUGAGUUGGCUAUAACCUUAAUUACAAAAAAAGAGAGCAAAAUUGAUGGUUUUCUGCAGGCUCGUGAAAAAGCUCUUGAUAAACAUAGAAUCAUUUGCUGAUGAUGAGUUUGGCUAUAACCAGGAUAGAAACAAAAGAGCAAAAAUUGACGGUUUUCUACUGUUUAGUGAAAAAGCUCUUGCUAAACAUAAAAAUUAUUUGCUGAUUGUUGAGUUAUAACAAUGAUAACGAAAAAAAAGAAAAAUAGACAGUUUUUCUGCAGCCUAAUGAAAGAGCUCUUGAUAAAUGUAGAAAUCAUUUGCUGAUUAAUUUGUUUGGAUAUAACAAUAAUAACAAAAAAAUGAGCAAAAUUGACGGUUUUGGUAGCCUGAUGAAGGUGUUUCCUAAUAAACGUAGAAAUCAUUUGUUGAUUGAUGAGUUUGGCUAUAACCAUGAUAAUUAUAAAAAGAGGAGCAAAAUCGACGGUUUUCUGCAACCUAAUAAAUCGCUCUUGGUAAAUGUAAAAAUUAUUUAUUGAUUUAUUAGUUUGGAUAUAACAAAACUAAAGAACAAAAAUUGACGGUUUUCUGCAUUCUGAUGAAAGAGAACUUGAUAAACAUAGAAAGCAUUUGAUGAUUGAUGAGUUUGGGAUAUAACAAUGAUAACGAAAAAAAAAGAAGCAAAAUUGACGAUUUUCUACAGACUCAUGAAAAAACUCUUGAUAAACGUAAAAAUCAUUAGAUGAUGAUGAGUUUGGCUAUAACCAUGAUAACAAAAAAAAAAGAACCAAAUUGACGUUUUUCUUCAGGCUCAUGAAAAAUCACAUGAUAAACCUAGAAAUUAUUUGCUGAUGAUGAGUUAGGCUAUAACCAUGAUAACAAAUAAAAAAAGAGGAAAUUGACUGUUUUUUGCCGUAUGAAGAACGAGCUCUCGAUAAACGUAGAAAUCAUUUGCUUAUUGAUAAUUUUGGGUAUAUAACCAUUAUAACGAAAAAAUGAGCAAAACUGAAAGUUUUCUACAGGCUGAUAAAAGAGCUGUUAAUUAACAUAGAAAUCAUUUGCUGAUUGAUGAGUUUGGCUAUCGCCACGAUAACAAAAAAAGUUGAGUAAAAUUGACGGUUUUCUACUGUUUAGUGAAAAAGCUCUUGAUAAACAUAAAAAUUAUUUGCUGAUUGUUGAGUUAUAACAAUGAUAACGAAAAAAAAAAGAAAAAUAGACAGUUUUUCUGCAGCCUAAUGAAAGAGCUCUUGAUAAAUGUAGAAAUCAUUUGCUGAUUAAUGAAAGAGCUCUUGAUAAAUGUAGAAAUCAUUUGCUGAUUAAUUUGUUUGGAUAUAACAAUAAUAACAAAAAAAUGAGCAAAAUUGACGGUUUUGGUAGCCUGAUGAACGUGUUUCCUGAUAAACGUAGAAAUCAUUUGUUGAUUGUUGAGUUUGGCUAUAACCAUGAUAAUUAUAAAAAAAGGAGCAAAAUCGACGGUUUUCUGCAACCUAAUAAAGAGCUCUUGGUAAAUGUAAAAAUUAUUUAUUGAUUUAUUAGUUUGGAUAUAACAAAACUAAAGAGCAAAAAUUGACAGUUUUCUGCAUUCUGAUGAAAGAGAACUNNNNNNNNNNNNNNNNNNNNNNNNNNNNNNNNNNNNNNNNNNNNNNNNNNNNNNNNNNNNNNNNNNNNNNNNNNNNNNNNNNNNNNNNNNNNNNNNNNNNAUAACAAGUUUCAGUUGCAGACUCACCUGAUCUGACGAUUUCUACAGACUCAUGAAAGAACUCUUGUAGUAACGUAAAAAUCAUUAGAUGAUGAUGAGUUUGGCUAUAACCAAGAUAACAAAAAAAAAAGAACAAAAUUGACGUUUUUCUUCAGGCUCAUGAAAAAUCACAUGAUAAACCUAGAAAUUAUUUGCUGAUGAUGAGUUAGGCUAUAACCAUGAUAACAAAUAAAAAAAGAGGAAAUUGACUGUUUUUUGCCGUAUGAAGAACGAGCUCUCGAUAAACGUAGAAAUCAUUUGCUUAUUGAUAAUUUUGGGUAUAUAACCAUUAUAACGAAAAAAUGAGCAAAACUGAAAGUUUUCUACAGGCUGAUAAAAGAGCUGUUAAUUAACAUAGAAAUCAUUUGCUGAUUGAUGAGUUUGGCUAUCGCCACGAUAACAAAAAAAGUUGAGUAAAAUUGACGGUUUUCUACUGUUUAGUGAAAAAGCUCUUGAUAAACAUAAAAAUUAUUUGCUGAUUGUUGAGUUAUAACAAUGAUAACGAAAAAAAAAAGAAAAAUAGACAGUUUUUCUGCAGCCUAAUGAAAGAGCUCUUGAUAAAUGUAGAAAUCAUUUGCUGAUUAAUUUGUUUGGAUAUAACAAAAAUAACAAAAAAAUGAGCAAAAUUGACGGUUUUGGUAGCCUGAUGAAGGUGUUUCCUGAUAAACGUAGAAAUCAUUUGUUGAUUGAUGAGUUUGGCUAUAACCAUGAUAAUUAUAAAACGAGGAGCAAAAUCGACGGUUUUCUGCAACCUAAUAAAGAGCUCUUGGUAAAUGUAAAAAUUAUUAAUUGAUUUAUUAGUUUGGAUAUAACAAAACUAAAGAGCAAAAAUUGACGGUUUUCUGCAUUCUGAUGAAAGAGAACUUGAUAAACAUAGAAAGCAUUUGAUGAUUGAUGAGUUUGGGAUAUAACAAUAAUAACGAAAAAAAAAGAAGCAAAAUUGACGAUUUUCUACAGACUCAUGAAAAAACUCUUGAUAAACGUAAAAAUCAUUAGAUGAUGAUGAGUUUGGCUAUAACCAUGAUAACAAAAAAAGAAGAACAAAAUUGACGUUUUUCUUCAGGCUCAUGAAAAAUCACAUGAUAAACCUAGAAAUUAUUUGCUGAUGAUGAGUUAGGCUAUAACCAUGAUAACAAACAAAAAGAGGAAAUUGACUGUUUUUUGCCGUAUGAAGAACGAGCUCUCGAUAAACGUAGAAAUCAUUUACUUAUUGAUAAUUUUGGGUAUAUAACCAUUAUAGCGAAAAAAUGAGCAAAACUGAAAGUUUUCUACAGCCUGAUAAAAGAGCUGUUAAUUAACGUAGAAAUCAUUUGCUGAUUGAUGAGUUUGGCUAUCGCCACGAUAACAAAAAAAGUUGAGUAAAAUUGACGGUUUUCUACUGUUUAGUGAAAAAGCUCUUGAUAAACAUAAAAAAUAUUUGCUGAUUGUUGAGUUAUAACAAUGAUAACGAAAAAAAAGAAAAAUAGAUAGUUUUUCUGCAGCCUAAUGAAAGAGCUCUUGAUAAAUAUAGAAAUCAUUUGCUGAUGAAUUUGUUUGGAUAUAACAAUAAUAACAAAAAAAUGAGCAAAAUUGACGGUUUUGGUAGCCUGAUGAAGGUGUUUCCUGAUAAACGUAGAAAUCGUUUGUUGAUUGAUGAGUUUGGCUAUAAACAUGAUAAUUAAAAAAAGAGGGACAAAAUCGACGGUUUUCUGCAACCUAAUAAAGAGCUCUUGGUAAAUGUAAAAAUUAUUUAUUGAUUUAUUAGUUUGGAUAUAACAAAACUAAAGAGCAAAAAUUGACGGUUUUCUGCAUUCUGAUGAAAGAAAACUUGAUAAACAUAUAAAUCAUUUGCUUAUUUAUGAGUUUGUGAUAUAACAAUGAUAACGAAAAAAAAAGAAGCAAAAUUGACGAUUUUCUACAGACUCAUGAAAAAACUCUUGAUAAACGUAAAAAUCAUUAGAUGAUGAUGAGUUUGGCAAUAACCAUGAUAACCAAAAAAAGAAGAACAAAAUUGACGUUUUUCUCCAGGCUCAUGAAAAAUCACAUGAUAAACCUAGAAAUUAUUUGCUGAUGAUGAGUUAGGCUAUAACCAUGAUAACAAAAAAAAAAAGAGGAAAUUGACUGUUUUUUGCCGUAUGAAGAACGACCUCUCGAUAAACGUAGAAAUCAUUUGCUUAUUGAUAAUUUUGGGUAUAUAACCAUUUUAACGAAAAAAUGAGCAAAGCUAAAAGUUUUCUACAGGCUGAUAAAAGAGCUGUUAAUUAACAUAGAAAUCAUUUGCUGAUUGAUGAGUUUAGCUAUCGCCACGAUAACAAAAAAAGUUGAGUAAAAUUAACGGUUUUCUACUGUUAUUCGAGUCUCGCGUUCUUACAUAAAAAUUAUUUGCUGAAUGUUGAGUUAUAACCAAACUGUGGAAGUCGAAACUAACACAAUCAAGAUUUGUCUAGGGUUUUAUUUUAGGGAUACGAUAAUCGUGAAUUCUCAAAGAACAACAGAAACGAUUGUAACCAAAGAUGGUGUUCUUGAUAUUAUUAAGAAAAAGAUGACUUUGAUCGUACAAGAGUUUGAUCGUAAAAGGAAAAAGAUGUUUGUGCUGUGAGAGCUUUGCGUAGUGUAAAUUCUAGAGCGAUGUUGCUUCCCCCUCUGUGAGAGCCUUGAGUCUCUUUAUAUAGGGGUGAUAAACCGCCUCUCCAGCGAUAUUCUCGGAAGAUUUCCAUUUAUCUUGAAGUCGGUGUAGAAUAUCGCGGAUCAGGAUAAUUUCCUUAUUCUUCGGAGUUUUUUGGAAGAUUUCCUGAUUUAAGUUGAUCCUUCGUGAUUCUCCUUUAUCAUUUCCGGGUUUAUCGGAAAUGACCCUUCGGAAAUGAUGCCUUGUUUGGAAAUGAUACUUUGAAGAUGAAUAUUUAUCAAGUCUUUGCCUCGGGUGAUGAUGAAGACUUCGCCUCGGGUCACUCUGAAGACUUUGCCUCGGGUGACACUAAAGACUUCGCCUCGGGUGACUUUGCAGACUUCGCCUCGGGAACAAUACACAUUUCACCUCGGGUAGCACUGAGACUUUGCCUCGGGUAGCACUGAGACUUUGCCUCGGGUAGCACUGAGCCUCGGGUAGCACUGAGACUUUGCCUCGGGGUAACUGCAGUAUAAGGCUCGGCAGUGUACCCCGAGCUGACUGUGUACCCCGAGCUGACUGGCAGACUGACUGGCAAGGUACCCGAGCUGACUGGCAGACUGACUGGCAGGGUACCCGAGCUGACUGGCAGACUGACUGGCAGGGUACCCGAGCUGACUGGCAGACUGACUGGCAGGGUACCCGAGCUGACUGGCAGACUGUCUGGCAGGGUACCCGAGCUGACUGGCAGACUGACUAGCAGGGUACCCGAGCUGACUGGCAGACUGACUGGCAGGGUACCCGAGCUGACUGGCAGACUGACUGGCAGGGUACCCGAGCUGACUGGCAGACUGACUGGCAGGGUACCCGAGCUGACUGGCAGACUGACUGGCAAGGUACCCGAGCUGACUGGCAGACUGACUGGCAGGAUACCCGAGCUGACUGGCAGACUGACCGGCAGGGUACCCGAGCUGACUGGCAGACUGACUGGCAGGGUACCCGAGCUGACUGGCAGACUGACUGGCAGGGUACCCGAGCUGACUAGCAGGAUAACCCGAGGUGUUGAAGUUUGGCUCGGUCUCAAAGGAUGGGUGAAAUCCGACCCCAACAAUGAUAACGAAAAAAAAGAAAAAUAGACAGUUCUUCUGCAGUCUAAUGAAAGAGCUCUUGAUAAAUGUAGAAAUCAUUUGCUGAUUAAUUUUUUUAGAUAUAAUAAUAAUAACAAAAGAAAAAUGAGCAAAAUUGGCGGUUUUUGUAGCCUGAUGAAGGUGUUUCGUGAUAAACGUAGAAAUCGUUUUUUGAUUGGUGAGUUUGGCUAUAACCAUGAUAAUAAUAAAAAAAGAGCAAAAUCGACGGUUUUCUGCAACCUAAUAAAGAGCUCUUGAUAAAUGUAAAAAUUAUUUACUGAUUUAUUAGUUUGGCUAUAACAAAACAAGAGAGCAAAAAUUGACGGUUUUCUACAUUCUAAUGAAAGAGAUCUUGAUAAACAUAGAAAUCAUUUGCUGAUUGAUGAGUUUGGGAUAUAAAAAUGAUAACGGAAAAAAAGGAGCAACAUUGACGAUUUUCUACAGACCCAUGAAAAAACUCUUGAUAAACGUAAAAAUCAUUAGAUGAUGAUGAGUUUGGCUAUAACCAUGAUAACAAAAAAAAGAAGAACAAAAUUGACGUUUUUCUCCAGGCUCAUGAAAAAUCACAUGAUAAACCUAGAAAUUAUUUGCUGAUGAUGAGUUAGGCUAUAACCAUGAUAACAAAAAAAAAAGAGGAAAUUGACUGUUUUUUGCCGUAUGAAGAACGACCUCUCGAUAAACGUAGAAAUCAUUUGCUUAUUGAUAAUUUUGGGUAUAUAACCAUUAUAACGAUAAAAUGAGCAAAGCUAAAAGUUUUCUACAGGCUGAUAAAAGAGCUGUUAAUUAACAUAGAAAUCAUUUGCUGAUUGAUGAGUUUGGCUAUCGCCACGAUAACAAAAAAAGUUGAGUAAAAUUAACGGUUUUCUACUGUUUAGUGAAAAAGCUCUUGGUAAACAUAAAAAUUAUUUGCUGAUUGUUGAGUUAUAACAAUGAUAACGAAAAAAAAGAAAAAUAGACAGUUCUUCUGCAGUCUAAUGAAAGAGCUCUUGAUAAAUGUAGAAAUCAUUUGCUGAUUAAUUUUUUUAGAUAUAAUAAUAAUAACAAAAGAAAAAUGAGCAAAAUUGGCGGUUUUUGUAGCCUGAUGAAAGUGUUUCCUGAUAAACGUAGAAAUCGUUUUUUGAUUGGUGAGUUUGGCUAUAACCAUGAUAAUAAUAAAAAAAAGAGCAAAAUCGACGGUUUUCUGCAACCUAAUAAAGAGCUCUUGAUAAAUGUAAAAAUUAUUUACUGAUUUAUUAGUUUGGCUAUAACAAAACAAGAGAGCAAAAAUUGACGGUUUUCUACAUUCUAAUGAAAGAGAUCUUGAUAAACAUAGAAAUCAUUUGCUGAUUGAUGAGUUUGGGAUAUAAAAAUGAUAACGGAAAAAAAGGAGCAAAAUUGACGAUUUUCUACAGACCCAUGAAAAAACUCUUGAUAAACGUAAAAAUCAUUAGAUGAUGAUGAGUUUGGCUAUAACCAUGAUAACAAAAAAAAGAAGAACAAAAUUGACGUUUUUCUCCAGGCUCAUGAAAAAUCACAUGAUAAACCUAGAAAUUAUUUGCUGAUGAUGAGUUAGGCUAUAACCAUGAUAACAAAAAAACUAUGAUGACGCAAAAAGAGACAAAACUGACAGUUUUUUAUAGCCUAAUGAAAGAGCUCUUGGUAAACGUCGAAAUCAUUUGCCGAUUUAUGAGUUUGGCUAUAACCUUGAUAACAAAAAAAUGAGCAAAAUUGACGGUUUUUUGCAGCCUCAUGAAAAAAUUGUUAAUAAACAUAAUAAUCACUUUCUGAUUUAUGAUUUUGGCUAUAACCAUAAUUAGAAAAAAAACAAGAGGAGCAAAGUUGAUUUUUUUCUGAAGUUUGAUGAAAGAGCUCUUGAUAAGCGUAUAAAUCAUUUACUGAAGAUGAGUUUGGCUAUAACAAAGAUAACAAAAAUGAGUAAAAUAGCGAUUUUCUGCAGCCUGAUGAAAGAGUUUUUGAUAAAUGUAUAAAUAAUUAGAUGAUUGAUGAGUUUUUGAUAAUUAUGUUGAAUAUGGAUCUCAGUAUUACCGACGAGAUGCUUUGUUGGUAAUUACUUUUUUUUUUUUGUCGUCCAUAAUCGAAACUCUAAAAUUUUUGACGGAACGUUAACUGAUUCUGAUGUUAUAAACCGGGUGUCACGAAUCCUGAAAACGAAGAAGUACCUAUCGUCACACGCAAAGAGAAUGCCAUGGAGGAAUGAUGUUAUGAUGACGUUCGUUGUUUUCUUAUUGUCUUGGAUUUUUUUUUGUUUUUUUUAAUGAUUAUCAUCUUAUUUUUACCAUUUAUAACAUUCUCUUAUCUCUCCAAAUUGAAGAUUUUCUGCAGCCUAAUGAAAGAGCUCUUGAUUAACAUAGAAAUCAUUUGAUGAUCGAUGAGUUUGGCAAUAGCCAUGAUAACAAAAAAAGAAGAGUAAAAUUGACAGUUUUCUGCUGUCUAAUGAAAUAGCUCUUGAUAAACGUAUAAAUCAUUUGCUGAUUGAUGAGUUUGGCUAUAACAUUGAUAAAAAAAAAAAAAAAAGAGCAAAAUAGACAGUUUUCUGCAGCCUAAAGAAAGAGGUUUUGAGAAACGUAGAAAUCAUUUGUUGAUUGAUGAGUUUGGUUAUAACAAUGAUAACAAUAAAAGAGAGCAAAAUCGACAGUUUUCUGCAGUCUGAUGAAAGAGCUAUUGAUAAAUGCAGAAAGUAUUUGCCCAUUGAUGAGUUUUUCUAUAAUAAUAAUAACAAAAUAAAAUAAACAAAAUUGACGGUUUCUUUCAGUCUCAUGAAGAAAUAUUGAUAAACGUAAAAAUUAUUUUCUGAUAUAUGUGUUUGGCUAUAAUCAUGAUUAUAAAGAAUAAGAUGAGCAAAGUUGACGGUUUUCUUCAACUUCAUGAAAAAGCUCUUGAUAAACGUAGAAAUCGUUUGUUGAUUGAUGAGUUUGACUAUAACAAUGUUAACGAAAAAACGGGAGAAAAAUAACGAAUUUCUACGUCAUGAUGAAAGAGCUUUCGAUAAGUGUAGAAAUAUUUUGCUGAUUGAUGAGUUUGGUUAUAACCAUGGUAACAAAAAAAAAGAGCGAAAUUGACAUUUUUUGCAACGUAAUGAAAGAACUCUUGGUAAACGUAAAAAUUAUCUGUUCAUUGAUGAGUUUGGCUGUAACCAUUAAAAAUAAAACAAGAGAGACAACAUUGACGAUUUUCGUUAGUCGAUGAAAGAGAUCUUGAUAAACGUAGAUAUCAUUUGUUGAUUGCUGAAUUUGGCUACAACAAUGAUAAAGAAAAAAAUGAGCAAAAGUGACAGUUUUCUGCAGGUUCAUGAAAAAGCUUAUGAUAAAUGUAUAAAUAUUUUGCAGAUGAUGAGUUUGGCUAUUAAUAUGAUAACAAAAAAAAAUUGACGGUUUUCUGCAGUCUAAUGAAAAAGCUCUUGAUAAACGUAGAAAUCGUUUGCAGAUUAAAGAGUCUUGUUAUAAGCAUUAUAACGGAAAAAUGGGCAUAAUUGAUGGUUUCUGCAAUCCGAUGAAAAAGAUCUUAAUACACGUAGAAAUAAUUUUUGAUUGAUGAGUUUGGCUAUAACCAUGAUAAUAAAAAAGGAGCAAAAGUGACUGUUUUUUGCAACGUAAUGAAAGAGGUCUUGAUAAACGUAAAAAUUAUUUGCUCAUUAAUGAAUUUGGCUAUAACAAUGAUUACAAACAAGAGAGAUAAAAUUGACGUCUUUAUGCAGUCCGAUUAAUGAUAUCUUGAUUAACGUAACGUAUAAAUCAUAUGCUGAUUGAUGAGUUUGGAUAUAACAAUGAUAACAAAAAAAUGAGCAAAAUUGACAGUUUUUUGCAGGCUCAUGAAAAAGCUCUUGCUAAACGUAGAAAUCAUUUGUUGAUGAUGAGUUUGGCUAUAUCCAUGAUAACAAAAAAAGAAAAAGCAAAACUGACGGCUUUCCGCAGUUUGAUGAAAGAGAUCUUUGAUAAACGUAAAAAUCAUUUACUGAUAGAAGAGUUUAGCUAUAACCAUUCUACCAGAAAAAAAGCAAAGUUGACGAUUUUUAGCAGUCUGAUGAAAGAGAUCUCGAUAAAUGUAAAAAUCAUUGGCUGAUUGAAGAGUUUUGCAAUAACCAUUAUAACGGUAAAUGAACAAAAUUGAAGGUUUUCUGCAGCCUAACGAAAGAGCUCUUGAUUAACUUAGAAAUUUGCUGAUUGAUGAGUUUGGAUGUAGCCAUACAAAAAAAAAAAAUAGGAGCAAAGUUGACGAUUUUCUACUGUCUAAUAUAAGAGGUUUUGGUAAACGUAUAAAUCAUUUGCUGAUUGAUGAGUUUGGUUACAAUGAUAACAAUAAAAGAGAGCAAAAUAGACAUUUUUCUGUAGCCUGAUGAAAUAGAUAUUGAUAAAUGUAGAAAUCAUUUGUCGAUUGAUGAGUUUGACUAUAACAAUGAUAACAAAAUAAAAGAACAUAAUUGACGGUUUAUUUCAGCCUCAUGAAGAAAUGUUGAUAAAAGUAUAAAUUAUUUUCUAAUUUAUGUGUUUGGCUAUAAUCAUGAUUAAAAAGAACAAGAUGAGCAAAGUUGACGGUUUUUUUCAACUUCAUGAAAACUCUUGAUAAACGUAGAAAUCGUGUGUUGAUUGAUGAGUUUGGCUAUAACAAUGAAGCAAUUAAACAGGAGAAAAUAACGAAUUUCUGCGUCCUGAUGAAAGAGCUUUCGAUAAAUAUAGAAAUAAUUUGCUAAUUGAUGAGUUCGACUAUAACUAUGAUAACAAAUAAAAUAGCAAAAUGACGUUUUUUGCAACGUAAUGAAAGAGCUCUUGGUAAACGUAAUAAUUAUUUGUUCAUUGAUGAGUUUGGCUAUAACCAUAAUAAAAAAAAGCAACAGAGACAAAAUUGACGACUUUCUGUAGUCGAUGAAAGAGAUCUUGAUAAACGUAGAUAUCAUUUGUUGAUUGAUGAAUUUGGUUACAACAAUGAUAAAGAAAAAAAUGAGCAAAAGUGACAGUUUUCUAAAGGUUCAUGAAAAAACUUUUGAUAAAUGUAUAAAUUUUUUGCAGAUGAUGAGUUUGACUAUUACCAUGAUAACAAAAAAAAAAAAAUUGAAAGUUUUCUGUAGUCUAAUGAAAGAGUUCUUGAUAAACGUAGAAAUCGUUUGCAGAUUAAAGAGCAUUUUUAUAACCAUUAUAAUAGAAAAAUGGGCAUAAUUGAUGGUUUCUGCAAUCCGAUCAAAGAGAUCUUAAUAAAUGUAGAAAUUUUUUGCUGAUUGAUGAGUUUGGCUAACCAUGAUAAUAAAAAAAAGGAACAAAGUGACAGUUUUUGUAACGUAAUGAAAGAGGUCUUGAUAAACGUAAAAAUUAUUUGCUCAUUAAUGAGUUUAGCUAUAACCAUGAUUACAAACAAGAGAGAUAAAAUUAACCGGCCUUCUGAAGUCCGAUUAAUGAUAUCUUGAUUAACGUACAAAUCAUAUGUUGAUUGAUGAGUUUGGCUAUAAAAAUGAUAACAAAAAAAAUGAGCAAAAUUGACAGUUUUAUGCGAGCUCAUGAAAAAACUCUUGAUAAACGUAGAAAUCAUUUAUUGAUGAUGAUUUUGGCUAUAUCCAUGAUUAAAAAAAAAAAGGCAAAAUUAACGGCUUUUCGCAGUCUGAUGAAAGAGAUCUUUGAUAAUCGUAAAAAUCAUUUGAUGAUUGAAGAGUUUAGCUAUAACCAUUUUAACAAAAAAAAGAGCAAAGUUGACGAUAUUUGACAGUCUGAUGAAAGAGCUCUCGAUAAACGUAAAAAUUAUUGGCUGAUUGAAGAGUUUUACAAUAACCAUUAUAAAUGUAAAUUAGCAAACUCAAAAGUUUUAUGCAGCCUAACAAAAGAGCUAUUGAUUAACUUAGAAGUUUGCCGUUUGAUUGUUUGGCUAUAGCCAUAAAAAAAAAAUUGGAGCAAAAUUGACGGUUUUCUACUGUCUAAUGUAAGAGGUUUUGGUAAACGUAUAAAUUAUUUGCUGAUUGAUGAGUUUGGUUAUAACAAUGAUAACAAUAAAAGAGAGCAAAAUAGACAGUUUUCUACAGCCUUAUGAAAGAGUUAAUGAUAAAUUUAGAAAUCAUUUGCCGAUUGAUGAGUUUGACUAUAACAAUGAUAACAAAAUAAGAGAACAAAAUUGACGGUUUCUUUCAGCCUCAUGAAGAAAUGUUGAUAAGCAUAAAAAUUAUUUUCCGAUAUAUGUGUUUGGCUAUAAUCAUGAUUAAAAAGAACAAGAUGAGCAAAAUUGACGGUUUUCUUCAGCUUCAUGAAAAAGCUCUUGACAAACGUAGAAAUUGUUUGUUGAUUGAUGUGUUUAGCUAUAACAUUGAUAACCAAAAAAACAAGAGAAAAAUAACGAUUUUUUAUGUCCUGAUGAAAGAGCUUUCAAUAAAUAUAGAAAUAAUUUGCUGAUUGAUGACUUUUGCUAUAACCAUGAUAACAAAAAAAAGAUAGCAAAAUAGACGUUUUUUUCAACGUAAUGAAAGAGCUCUUGGUAAACAUAAUAAUUAUUUGUUCAUUGAUGAGUUUGGCUAUAACCAUAAUAAAAAAAAAACAAGAGAGACAAAAUUGACGACUUUCUGUAGUCGAUGAAAGAGAUCUUGAUAAACGUAGAUAUCAUUUGUUGAUUGAUGAGUUUGGUUACAACAAUGAUAAAGGAAAAAAUGAGCAAAAGUGACAGUUUUCUCCAGGUUCAUGAAAAAGCUUUUGAUAAAUGUAUAAAUCUUUUGCAGAUGAUGAGUUUGGCUAUUACCAUGAUAACAAAAAAAAAGAGACAGUUUUCUGUAGUCUAAUGAAAGAGCUCUUGAUAAACGUAUAAAUCGUUUGCAGAUUAAUGAGUUUUGUUAUAACCAUUAUAACGGAAAAAUGGGCACAAUUGAUGGUUUUUGCAAUCCGAUGAAAGAGAUCUUAAUAAUCGUAGAAAUAUUUGCUGAUUGAUGAGUUUGGCUAUAACCAUGAUAAUAAAAAAGGAGCAAAAGUGACGGCUUUUUGCAACGUAAUGAAAGAGGUCUUGAUAAACGUUAAAAUUAUUUGCUCAUUAAUGAGUUUGGCUAUAACCAUGAUUACAAACAAGAGAAAUAAAAUUGACAGCUUUCUGCAGUCCGAUUAAUGAUAUCUUGAUUAACGUAUAAAUCAUAUGUUGAUUGAUGAGUUUGGCUAUAAAAAUAAUAACGAAAAAAGAGCAAAAUUGACAGUUUUCUGCAAGCUCAUGAAAAGCUCUUGAUAAACGUAGAAAUUAUUUAUUGAUGAUGAGUUUGGCUAUAUCUAUGAUAACAAAAAAUGAAAAACCAAAAUUGACGGCUUUCCGCAGUGUGAUGAAAGAGAUCUUUGAUAAACGUAGAAUCAUUUGAUGAUUGAAGAGUUUAGCUAUAACCAGUCUAACAAAAAAGAGCAAAGUUGACGAUUUUUGGCAGUCUGAUGAAAGGUAUUUCGAUAAACGUAAACAUNNNNNNNNNNNNNNNNNNNNNNNNNNNNNNNNNNNNNNNNNNNNNNNNNNNNNNNNNNNNNNNNNNNNNNNNNNNNNNNNNNNNNNNNNNNNNNNNNNNNCAAAAAAAAAAGGGAGCGAAAUUGACGUUUUUUGUAACGUAAUGAAAGAGCUCUUGGUAAAUAUAAAAAUGAUUUGUUCAUUGAUGAUUUUGGCUAUAACCAUAAUAAAAAAAAACAAGAGAGACAAAUCGACGACUUUCUGUAGUCCGAUGAAUGACAUCUUGAUAAACCUAGAUAUCAUUUGUUGAUUGAUGGGUUUGGUUACAACAAUGAUAAAGAAAAAAUGAGCAAAAGUGACAGUUUUCUGCAGAUUCAUGAAAAAGCUUUUGAUAAACGUAUAAAUCUUUUGCAGAUUAUGAGUUUGGCUAUUACCAAGAUAACAAAAAAAAAGAAAAAAUUGACGGUUUUCUGCAGUCUAAUGAAAGAGCUUUUGGUAAACGUAAAAAUAAUUUGCUGAGUAAAAAGUUUUAGUAUGACUUUUAUAACGAAAAAUGAUCAAAAUUGAAGAUUUUUUGUAGCCUGAUGUUAAAGUUAUUGAUUCGCAGAGAAAUCAUUUGCUAAUUGAUGAGUUUGUGGCAAUAGCCAUGAUAACAAAAAAAAAAUUGACGGUUUUCUGCUGGCUAUAACAAUUGUAACAAUAAAAAGGAACAAAAUAGAUACUUUUCUAUAACCUAAUGAAAGAGUUCUUGAUAAAUGUAGAAAUUAUUUGUUGAUUUAUGUGUUUGGCUAUAACCAUGAUAACAAAAAAAUGAGCAAAAUUUACGGUUUUUUGCAGCCAAAAAAAUGAGCAAAAAAAUGAGCAUAAUCACUUUCUGAUUUAUGAUUUUGGCUAUAACUAUAAUUAGAAAAAAAAAAACAAAAGGAGCAAAGUUGAUGGUUUUCUGAAGUCUGAUGAAAGAGAUCUUGAUAAGCGUAUAAAUCAUCUACUGAAGAUGAGUUUGGCUAUAACAAAGAUAACAAAAAACAUGAGUAAAAUAACGAUUUUCUGGAGUCUAAUGAAAGAGCUUUUGAUAAAUGUAGAAAUCAUUUGUUGAUUGAUGAGUUUUUGAUAAUUAUGUUGAAUCCGGAUCUCAGUAUUACCAAUGAGAUGCUUUGUUGGUAAUUACUUUUUUAUUUUUUUUGUCGUCCACAAUAAAAACUCUAAAAUUUUCGACGGAACGUUAACUGAUUCUGAUGUUAUAAACCGGGUGUCAGAAAUCCUGAAAGCGACGAAGUACCUAUCGUCACAUGCAAAGAGAAUGCUAUAAAAUGAUGACGUUCGUUGUUUUCUUAUUGUCUUGAAAUUAUUGUUUUUUGUUUUUUUUUUUUAUGAUUGGCAUCUUAUUUUCUUACCAUUUAUAAUAUUCUUUUAUCUCUCAUGAUUUUACCGUUUAUGCACGAUAACUUACACUAUUUGUAUAUAUUAUUAUUAUGGUGUUGAUAAUAGAGUGAUAUAUUUUUACCUUUAAAUUUCGUUAGUAUAUAUUUCAGUUUAACUGUUGAGAUUUAGUUUCUUUUUUCUAAACUUAAUUUAUUAAUAUUAUGGAUAAAUUCUAUAUCGUUUAAUCAAUAUUCGUUUUUGUUAAUUUUCUGAUUUAGUUUUUAAUAUAUAUUUUCUAUUUUUAUAUUCUUUCCAAAUAAUCGUUAGGUCUACAUAUACGUAUCGCGCGUUUAUACCUCAUUGGAUUGUUUAGCCGCGUAAUCUUUUGAUAUGGGUUCUACAAUGAUACAUUUUACCUCUGAUUCAUGUGAUGGUGGUUAUUUUGAUAUUGCGUCUCUUAACCCUAACAUGGGUGAGUGGUCUGUCUCGAUGAAGAUUUUGAAUUGUUGGUCUGUUUCGCGUGGCUCGGGUAGAGAGCUCAAUAUGAUUUUGGGUGACGAGCAUGUUAGUUUUUUGAUAACUUACCUUCUAUACAUGUUUUCGAUAUUAAAUUGAAUUGGUUUUGUCUUUAACGUUUUAUUUGCAGUUCACCCAAAUCCAAGCCGUUGUUCGUGAUGAAUUAAUUGAUAAUUAUCUUUCAAGAUUGAUAAUCGAUGAGUGGGUGAGCAUUAAAAAUUUUGAUGUAUCACGUGUUAACAGCAUAUUGAGACCAAUACCGCAUAGAUUCAAGAUUGUGUUUCGUUCGGACACCUUAGUGCAAAGUAUUAAUAUGUGCUCCAGUAGAACCUAUUUCAAUCUAACUGAGUUUGUGAGUAUAUUGAGUGGUAUUGUUAAUCCGAAUAUUUGCGUUGGUAAGCCUAAUUUAUGAAUUUAUUUGUGCUUUUGGAGUUUAUUUGCGAAUCAUGUUCUGACUGUAUUAUUCAUGUGUGUUUCAUAGAUGUUUUUGGCAAAAUUGUCAACGUGAGAGAGUUGAUUUUUGUUCCUUCCGUGGAACAUUCUCAAGGAAGAUAUUUUGAGCUGUACUUUGGUUUACGUGAUACUGAGUAAGUCACUAUUUUUUUAAAGAUUUAAACCAGAAUAUAAAGUCUUAUGACUUCUUCAAAUCUUAAAAUUAGGUGUAUCCAUCUAGAGUGUCGUUUAACGGGUGACCUUGCAGUCGAGUUCUAUGACUUAUGGAAGCAUUGUUCACGUAACACAGUGAUAUGUAUUAUCAAGUUUGUGAAAUUAGAGCUAUCACAGGAACAUAGGUGGAGAUGUACCAACGUUACCGGAAGUACGAGGAUUAUGUUGAAUCCGGAUCUCAGUAUUACCGACGAGAUGCUUUGUUGGUAAUUAUUUUUUUUUUCCCGUUUACAAUCAAAACUUUAAAGUUGGCGACUGGACAUUCACUGUUUAUGGUGUUCUAAAUCGGAUGUCAGGAAUCCUGAAAACGACCAAGUACCUAUCAUCACACGCAAGGAGAAUGCCAUGGAGUGAUGAUGUUCGUUGAUUUCUUAUUUUCUUGGUGAAUGGUUUUAAAAGAUGAUUUAUUAUUAUUUUCUUAGCAUUUAUAAUAUUAUUGAAUUUUUUUAAUUUCAUCAUUUUCCAUAUUUUACCACACUAAACCCUAGACAAUUUACCAUAUUUUUCUUACACUACCAAGUAACACCUAAACAAUUUCUUAUUUCACAUGAUUUUACCAUUCACACAACAUUAUUCCCGCGCAUUUGCGCGGGCAAUCACCUAAUUUCCAAAUAUGUGUCUCUUCUCCUAAAACAUCAAAAUAAAAAACACCAAGAAAGUAUUAUGUUUCUUUCUAAAAAAAAACUAUUAGUGGUAUAAAAUUGUUUUUUUAUAAGGAUAGACACAAUUCUUAUUUUGUUCUAUUCCGUUAUGUUCCAUAUUCGUUACUGAAUUUCCAUCCCAUAUUUAAAUGUAUUUUGGUAUAAAAAAAAUUCUUCAUUUAUGUAUGGAAACAUAUGGAAAUUGGAAUUCCCGAAGUUAUGUUUGGAAUAAAAACAAAUAGUAAUAUAGAUUUUAAAAAUAAUUAUAUAUAUAUAUAUAUUUAUAAUAUAUUUAUAUAUCAUAUAAUAUAAUAAAAAUAUUACAAAAAUAAGUUGAUUUCAUUAUUCCUAUUACUUUAUAUAUUAAUAACUAUCUUCUAUAUAUUAAAAGAGUAUUUUAAAGAGAUAUAUGAAAAGAGUAUUUUUGGUCGCAAGCCCAUAAUUUUUCUCAGCAUAUUUUUUUCUUUUAAUUUUACUAUCAUAUAUGCCAAACACUAUACAAACACACAUAAAUUUCUCUAAUAUCUAGAGUUACCAAAUUUUGAUAUUCUUAACCUCCCUUAUAAUUAUCAAACUAGAAAUUUGGGUUUAGUAUUAUAUUAUGUAUUAGAUACUAUUUUGUUUUCAAACUUUAAGUAUUUACUUUAUUUGUCUUUUUAUCACAAUUGUAGUUUAUAAUAGUAAUGUCAUGUGUUGCCUACGUGUAAACUCUCAUUAUGCAUGAUAUUGACAAAAAUGUGUUUAUCUUUCAAUGAAGUGAGUGAAUUGAUUUUAAAGAUUUAAAUAAAUAGAAUUCAACAUUUAUAAUCUUCUAAAAAUUAUAUCCUUGAAUAUUUUGGUUUUAAAUAAAAAUAAAUUUAAUGGGUCACAUUAAAUCUGGUAAUAAAAUUUUAAUGGUAAAAUUAAUGAAAACUUAAAUAAUUCAUUUGGUGACAUCGUAAUGGUUUAAAUAUUUUAUAUUAAAUUAAUAAUAGAAAAAUAACUUAGAAUUAGUAGCAAUAUACACAUACAUAAAUAUAUAUAUAUAUAUAUAUAUGGUAGUUGUUUACUACUUUUUCUUACUAUUUUUUGAUCAAUUAUACAUAACUGGUAUAUAUAGAUAAUAAAUAUCUUACCAUUAUAUGAUUGGUACCAACCGCUAACAACCGCAGUCGACCGCUAACAACCGCUAGACGACGGAUGAUAACAAGAGAAGCAAUCAACACCUAACUUUGAAAACCAAAUUUUAUAUAAUAAAAUAGAUUGUUUUAUUUUUAUUUAAAUCAUUUUUAUAUAAUUUUAAAAUAAAUAAAAAUUAAAUAAUUUAUUAAUUUGUGUGGAUAAAUUCGUAAAAACCAAAUAAAAAUAACGGAGGCAAUAUAUGUUUUGUUGGUCGGUUCAACCAAAUCCUAUACUAUUAUUUGGGGAGUACACUUUAUAAGAUACCCUUAACUAACCUUCCCUUUUGUAAGAAUUUACUUAAGAAUGCCAUUACAAAAAAAAAAUUUUAGAACAAAUUUCAUUCAAUUUAUUAAGGAUAAAUAAGUAAAAUACUAAUUUAUGUCAUUUAAUUAAUUUAAUUAAAUUAUAAAACGAAAGUCUGUUAUUUUUUUUAAAUGACCAAUCAAAAUUAACAUAUAAGAUUUGAUAUCUAACUUAUCAUAUUAAUUUGUUAUUAAUCAUUAAACUUCACCUCUCAUCUUAAUAUGAUUAUAUUAAUAUGAAACAAAUAAAUAAUCAUAUCAUCUACAUAAUAAAAAAAAGUAAUUUUUUUUCUGCAUAUGCCAAGAUUUGAAUUUUUAAAAACGCAUAUGAAUUGUUCAAUCUAUAAAGGAAACAAUUAAACGGGUCAAAAAUUCAGAGUUGAGUAAUAUAUUUCUUUUACACAAAAAUAAAGUCAACAAAAAUUCCGACUGAGCAACGGGUCAAAAUUUGAAUAUUUAUAUUCGAUUUCAUACAUUUAUUUUUUUGAAAUGUAUAAUUUUAUAUACUACAAUAAGAAUUUAAAUAUUUUAAUUUGCAACAUUUAAAAUAAGUUUUACUUGAUAUUUUUAGAGAAUAUCAUCAAUACUUAAUAGUUCAAAAAGUUAAAAAUUAUAAAUACUCUAAUUUGAUUAUUUUUAAAAAUAUUUAUAAUAGGUAGCGGGUUAAAUAUAAUAUAUUAUAAGAUGAAAUGAGUUUUGAUCCUUAUAACUAUUUGAAUAGUUAUAUUUAAUUUCAUAUAAUUUGUUUUUUGAAAUUCAUAAUUUUAUAAACUAAAAAAAAUUUAUUGAUUUUAAUUUGGAGUAUUUAAAAAUAGUGUAGAAAAUUUAAAUAUGGUUUGACACCUCUAAAUAUUUGAAAGUUUGAUUCCGCAAGAAAUUUUAGAAUUAACGAAUUAUAGAUUGUGCACGCAAUAUUUUAAAAUGAAAUAUUGAGAUUCUAAAAUAAAAAUAUAGACUCCACACACGGGUUAAUUUUGGUAUUAUUAUAUACUAAAUAUAUGUUUAUAACAUAUUCGAUUAUGCGAAUAAUUGGUAAAUUCCGUAAUUAUAAAUCUUAAACAAAUUCUGUAAUUAGAUUAGCUCAAACAAAUCUCUAUUUCAACAACCAAAGAAUUAUAAAUUGAAAAAGAAUUUUCUAAAUUAAUUCCAAAUAAUAGCUAAUUUUCUUAAUUAAUUCAAAAUAUUCUAUGUUUUAUAUGCGAUUCAUUUAUGAUAUUUUAAUUUUUGAUCUAACUGAAAUAUAUGCAAUCCUAUUUUGUGGUUGUUAACAUAAAUUAACUCAUUGUUCAAAAAAUAUUACUUUUUAAAAAAUAAAAUUAUUUUCCGUUUUCAUAUCUUAAAAAAAAAAUAUCCAUAAUUGAGUAUUAUAGAAAAAGUUCUAUAUUUAUUCUAAUAUUGUAUAUAGGAACUGACAAAAAAAAAUUAAUAUUUUUUCACUUACCAUUAUAAUAUAUUAAAACUUAGUUUAUAUAUAUAUAUAUAUAUAUAUAUAUAUAUAUAUAUUAUAUAAAUUUUGUAAUAAAUAAAAUUCAACCCGUACUUUAGUACGGGUGAUGAUCUAGUGUUUAAACAUUACACUAAAUGGAAAAUCAAACGAGUUACAAUCCUCAUCAAGCAUAACGACAAGGGGCGGGUUAAGAAAACAAACGAGAUAGAUAAGAGUUUCCAUUGGAAUAUAAAGUCAUUAAUAAAAGAGAUAAUUAGCUGGGAGACAACCCAUGAUCUGAAUCAAAUUAAAUUUUCGGUAUUAUAUUUUGAAGGCCAAAGACAAUGAAAAUUUUAGCUCCUCUUUUUGCUAAAAAUAACUUUAUGUGCCUCUCCAUUUGUUGUUCAGAAAAUCAAUAUGUUGUGCAUAGAUGUCCAGAAAACUUUAUAGAUUCAUGUAUAUAUCUUGUAAGUUGUCUUCUUCGUAUGUCGGCGUUGAUCUAAUAUCCGAUUAAAAAAGAAAUAUCUAUUUUGUAAGACCAUAAACAAUUCAGAGCUGCUUUCCCAGUUAUUUACGGAUAGAGAAGAAUUUACUGGGAUAGAGUUAACCAAUACUUCAAACUCAAAACGAUUAGUGUUGAUAGUAUCAUGAAUUUCUUUAAGUUCCGAUGACAAUUUAACAAAACCUGAUGAAAAUAUGGGACGACAAUUCAACGAAAUCAGGUGAAGAUCCGGUGAUAAUUCGAAGAAAUCUGGUAAAAACUCGACGAAACCGGGUAAAAUCCAUCAAAAAUACGUAAUUUAUGAUUCCAUGCAAUGAUAUUUUAGUGUCCAAUUACGAUGCACUAUUCACUUGUUAUGUUCAACGGUUUGAGAAACGGUGGUUGUAAUAAUGUUUGUAGCGUACAUAUAAGUAUACAAAUGUUAAUAACGCUCUAUAUACGCGUUUACAUGUAUACAAAUGUUAAUAACGCUCUAUAUAUGUGUGUUUACGAGCAUACAAAUGUUAAUAAUGUUUAAUGUACAUGUUUAAACAUGUUUACAUGUAUACAAAUGUUAAUAACGCCAUAUAUAUAUAUAUAUAUAUAUAUAUAUAUUUAUAUGUAUACAUAGAUCUAAUAAUUUAACACUAUAAUUAUUUUUAACGCUUUAUAUAUGUGUUUACAUGUAUACUUUUUUACAACACAGCUGCAUGCUUAUUUAUUGGGUGUCUAUUCCAUUAGGUUAGUGGUUUAAAAUUUCAAAUUCUCGUCCAACAAGUUGCGUUAUAGAUUUGAAGACAGUCCUUCAGUUUACAUUUAAUACAAGUCUCCUCCUUCUUUCUAUGCCGUGUAAAUGUCAUUUCUACAACAGAGCAUUUAAUAACUGUCAUUUCAUUUUUUUCCUCCCCAAAAGUUAAUGGCGCUAUCCCACGUGCAUGGACUCUGUAACUAACUUGUUUUCUUGUAAUUCUUUUAAAGUUGAGGGCUAUUGAUAACGCUUGAUUUUUGUUUGUCUGGGACAAAAUUGCCUAUUACUUAUUAGCUAAUUAGAUGUCCAAUUUUUACCUCUGCACAAAUUCACUCAUAAUAAAAACACCCCAACCUUCUUACUCUUGCUUUAGCUUCUUGAUAAAAAGCUUGAUCUCCAACAUUUCACCAUGCAAUAAACUGUUAGGGAUCAACAUGAAACUCUCUUCAGGUCUUUGGGAGCUCACUUUAAGAACUCUCUUAACCUCUGGUGAUUUGUAAAUCAUAGUGUGCCCAUCCACAGUGUAGGAGAGAUGGUAUGAGAACUGUCUUACUUCUGGAGCAGAUGGUGCAAUGCAGCUUACGGUAAAAUACACACCACAUGGCUCCCUAAAACACUGCACUGCAAACAGGGCAUGAGCGUUGGGAGAAGAUGCAUUUCUUUUCCAUGAGUUGAUUCUUUCCCAUAAGAUAUAUUCUAGUUUCUUUAAGUCAAUUUCUUUAGAAGUUAUAGAUAUACAAUCCAUAUCUGAUGUGAAAGACAAACCAAAAAUGAGAAGAUAAUAAAAAACUAACAAGAGUGGAGAUACGAAAAAAGAGUUGGUAUUCCUAAGGUUUAUGUGAGCUAGAGAGUGUGAGAUUUGAUAACAUGCAACUUUAAAGUCUGGUGGCUGAGACGUCACUUCCCAGUGCGUUAUAAAAGUGGAGUUUCAAAAUGUCGUAGACUUGCUCAAAUAUUUGCCUAAUGUGGACCGCAAUCAUCUUGUCAGAUGGGCGUAUGGCUACAACCACAUCAUUUAUCCAAGCUAGCUUACGGGUUGUGUCCUUGCUGAUGUCGCAUGCUAGAUGUUGCAGCAGUGAAAGAAGCACGCCUUGGCUCAGUGGACGCGGAUUCAUUACCAGUAGUCCAUGAAGAUCCACCUGGUAAAACACAACAAGCACACUAAUGUAAAGUUGAUGGUUUUGAGAUCCGAAGAUAUGGAAAAUCCAAACCAAAUUUCACCUGUGAGCAAAGCCAGGAUACUAUAGAGGCAUCGACUCUAUCUAGAGCCAAAGUAAAAGAUUCUUCGUACUUGCAUUUAGAUAUCAACCUCGAUAGUUCUGUUUUUGUGUCCAUUGGUGCUCCAUGUUGAAACAGCGGGCAUUGCCAUUGUACACACUACACAUAUAUACUUGUCAAAUUGCCAAUAAAUAAAAGGAAUAUGUUGGAAAUUCAGGGUCUCUAGAGAUGUGCAAACCUUCCCAAAAAGAGUAACCAUGGUACCUAAAGCUAGAAUGCUUUCCUGUGUAAUAAGAGUAGCCAGUUUAGGAAGAGGAAAAAAUUGACUAGAUUUUUUGCAACCAUUAUAGCCAAAGAAGUUGUGCAAGAAUAACGAUUUUCCAUCAUACCCUCAGAUUAUUAACAUCAGACUGGAAAUUUCCUGAGUCAAACCGUUGCUGGGCUACGCUUGUAACAGAGUUUCCAACCUUUGUGUUUCGGCAAGGGACAGAGAUCGAUUCAAGAACAGUCUCCAUUGCUCUGCAACGAAUGUGACCGAUAGGCGAACCACAGACAGGGCAUUUAUUCUUCAGUUUGUGACAACAAGAGGAACAAGCCAAAUGUCCAUUAUCACACUGAAAUACAAAACCAACGUGUUCCGAUUAGAAGCUAUAUCAUCAAAAGCUAAGGAUACUCUUAAAAUCCAGUAAAUAGCCACAGUUCCAACUUCUUUCUUCGUACAUAUCAAAGGCUGGACAAUUCUAGUUAUGAAGCAGAAAUGGUCUGAAAUAAGAAAACGAUUCAAUCAGAAAGAAGAAGAAGAAGAAGAAGAAGAAGAAGAAGCAAAACCUGGAAAAUAGGACUCUUCAAUGGUUCACAACAAAUGGGACAAUCAAGAAUCUCCAAAUCCAUCAGCAUCCUUGGUUCCGAAGUCGAGGUUCCCACCAUGUCUGAGAGCUGCCCAAAACCCUAAAGAGCUAAGUUUGGCUAAAUUUUACUAGUUAAAUAUUAUUUCUAUUAAUUAUAUAAAUAAUUUCUAUUAUUAAUCAUCAUGUAAUUUUAUUUAUUUAGAGAAAAGAAUUUCAGUUAUUCCAAUAUCAUAUGCGAUUUUUUUGAAGUUUUAUACAUUUAUUAGAUUAGGACUCGUGUAAUACACUGGUUAAUUGAUAAAUAGUUUAGGUUUUUAGAAAGUUUAGUAAGUUGUCUUAUAAUUUUAUGCAAAUAUAUAUUAAGCUGAAUUAAUUAUAAAUCUUAUUAUAUAUACAUUUGGAUUUGAAACCGCAAGACAAACUUUUAUUAUGUAAGUCGGUAUUAUAAGGUUUUGGAAUCCAAAACUUUAUCUGUUUUUCUUUUGUUCAUUUACUUUUAUAACUUAAUUAAAAAACAAAUGGAAGGAUAAUUUAAUAACAAAAACAUAUUGCCACAAAUAUCAGACACAACUUAUUUUAAUUAUUUAAUAAGAUACACUCUCAAGUCUUUUAACAAAUAUAAAGAUGUCUUGUUCUAUUUACAUUUUCCUAAAAAAUAUAUAAAUAAUCAUAUAUAUAGACCGACUCAUGGAAAAUCCAGAGAGUUAAUCAAUACACCAGAGGACAUCCAUGUUUCCAACACAAUCCGCAAAAGCCAGUGAACUAUCCGAAUCACUAGAACAAAAAGUCAAAACUCUAGAUUGCAUGGUUUGCAAUAGACUAAGCUCGAUCAAGCAACCAUGUAACACCCCGGUUUCAGAAAUAUGGUGGUGCAUGCGGAGAUGUUUAAAAGAAUUGAUUUUGCCAUCUAUGUCACCAAAGUGAACUUAUCUUUUCGGUCAGCUGUCCUGAGAGAACUCCAGGGUUAAGCAUGCUUGAACUGGGAAAUUUUCAGGAUGGGUGAAUUUUUGGGAAGUGAUUGUCGGAACCGUAUGAGUGAGGACAAAACAUGGGAAAAGUUCAUGUGUUGAUUUGUAGGAUCGGUAAACAAGUCUUUAAAGCCUCUCGGAUGUAACAGACGGACAAAAAUAAGGUCCACGGGCCCGAUAGAGGACGUGGGUGCUCACUGGUAGGAGCGGUUGAGACAAAAUUCAAAGAUGGGCUGCGUAUAUGGCUCGCCAACUCUCCCUUUUAGUCUUGGUUUUUAAUUUGUUUCCUGUUUUUUUUUUUAUUUCCUUUUAAAAAAUAAAUCCCUAUCACCUAUUCUUUUGAAAUUUGUUUAUAUUGUAAACAAGUUUUUUGGUUAAAUAAAUUUUACGUUCAUUCAAAAAAAAAAAACAUAAUAAAUUUGACAAAUUUCCAAAUCAAUUAAUUGCUAGAUCUACUAUUGUUUAUUUCCUAAGAAAUUUCGUAAGCCAAACGUUUUAAUCCAUCUGAAUUUACACUUGAUUUAAUUGCUUUUUUGCCUUUUAAUUUACUUGAUUUUAUUUAGGUUAAUUUCGAAUUCGACGCUUAAGAGAGUAAGCUUGAGGUCUAACUUGAUCUACAUCAUUGUGUUUGUCAAAUCGGGAAAGGAGAGCAUAGAAGCUCACGCUCUCCUUAAAAGAUGUUUUAUUGAACUUAAGGCGCAAGGAUCCGGAAAUUUACAAGCGUAAUGAUAUUUUGUAGAUGCUUAACAUGAUUUCAUCUAAGAAUGCUCCACAAAGAUGGCAAGAUAAUGCUGUGAUGGUGUGUUUGAGGUGGUCAUGACAUUUGAAGAACAAGUUUCUGAUUCAGUUCAUGAACAUAAUGAUAGAGAACAAGUCAUUUCUUAAAACUAUUCUUGUGAUGAACUUGGAGGUUAAAGAUAACUACACAUUCAUCUUUCCAAGUCGACGCAAGGCUUUCAACAAUCAAAGAGAGUUCGGUGAAAAUGUGUUAAGGCUAUUUUUCACCAUGCAUACGCAAGACUUUUUGAGUAGUGAAAGAGUUCGGUGAAAAUGUCAUUGCAUUGACCGUCACAGCCGAAAAGUAACUUCUGAUCUUUGUUCGUUAGGUUAAAACUUAAAACUUGUCUACUUAACGAAAACAAACUUAGAUAUUAUUAAAGGGCUUUCUUCUAUAUCACCCCAACCUUCUUACUCUUGCUUCAACUCAUUGAUGCAAAGCUUCAUAAUUAACAAUUGAUAACGUAUCAAAUUGUGAGGGAUCAAUAUGGAACUCUCUUUAGGUCUUUGGGAGCUCACUUUAAGAACCUUUUUCACCUUUGGUGAUUGGUAAGUCAUAGUGUGUUCAUCCUCAGUAGUGUAGGAGAGAUGAUAUGAGAACUCUCCUACUUCUGGAGCAGAUGGUGCAAUGCAGCUUACAGUUACAUAAACACCAAAUGGCUCCUCGAAACAUUGCACUGCAAACAAUAGUUUCUUCUCAUAUACCCUUAUAAUUAGUAUCUUUUAGCUGAUGAACAUCAUCACGGCCAUAUAGGAAACGCCACAUCUGAACCUAUCAUUCGCGCUGCUUAUUUGGUGAGUACGAUCAUAGUGCUCGUAUAGGUCCUUGUAUGAGCCAGUAUAAUUGCAAACUUGUAUAGGGCAGGAGCAUGAAGAGAAGUAGCAAUAUCUUCUCAUGGGUCUUGGUGCAACCUAAAUUUGCGUUUUGGCAUGGGACCAAAACUGAUUCAAGAACACUCUCCAUUGCUCUACAGCGAAUAUGUCCAACAGGCAAAGCACAUGCAGGACAUUUAUUUCUCAGUUUGGACAGAAAGAAGAACAAGCCAAAUGUCCAUUAACACACUGAAAUACAAAACCAAUGAAUUCUGAUUAAAAGCUGUCACAGUAACAACGUAGAGAGGAUAUAUAUAAACUCGUCUUGCCAAAUUAUCCACAUAUAUAUUUUCAAGAACUACAACUCCAAACGUGAACAUAUCUUACAAAACUUCAAACUAGGGAUACUCUUAAAAUAUAGUAAAUAUGCACAUUUCAAACUUCUCUAUUGACUCCAAAAUUAUUAUACUCUUCCUAAUGCAAAGUUUAUAAGAAACGAUUCAAUCAGAAAGAAGGAGAAACAAAACAACUGGAAGUUAGGAAUCGUCAAUGCUUCGUAGCAAAUGGGACAAUCAAGAAUCUGAAGAUCCGUCAGCAUCGCUGAGCGUCUCUUAUCAACUAUCUUUCUUCCAUCACCGGAAGAUAGAGAAGAACGGUGUCUCUUUUGAGAUCUAUUCUCUUCGUUCCAUAAAUCUUCCAAACGGGAGGCUCCCACCAUGUCGCCUAGAAAUCAAUAGGAGAGAGAUGGCCAAAAGUUUUUUUGACGUAAACCCUAAUCUUGUUUUCUUCUUUUUUUUUUAAAACAUAAACCCUAAUCUUUUUGCUCUAUAUUUUCGAAGAUUUUAAUCGGCUAUGACUUCGACGGGACCCUCGGUUUUUAGGCUUUUGGGAAAAAAAUCUCCCAAAUAGAUUGAGAACCGAAUUUUACUUAAGUCGUUUGGUUUAAAAUAUUCUGUUAGGUUUUAAUUUCUCUGGUUUUGUUCAUAUUUGAGUUCGGUUUAGAUGUCGUUUGGUUGUAUAUAAAAAUUUUUAACUGAUUAUUUUCAUUUAUAUAAUUAAAUUUUUGUUUAUUAGGCUAAUUUCAUUCAGAUUGCUCAAAAUUAUAAGGUGAUCCUAGUUGAACGCAUAUAUUACAGGUGAAUUACCAAAUUCAAUUAAUCUCUAAAAAUUACGAUUUAAAAUCAAUAAUUCGCGUUCACUAUUUCGUGAUUUGAGUAAACCCAAGUUUAAAAUCUUGACUAUGCCAAACUUUUCAAUGAGUUGUUGACAACGACAUGAUCUUGGAAAUUUUUUAAGUUCGGGUAUACUUAAAUCGUGAAAUAGUGAAUGCAAAUUAUUGCUUUUAAAUCACAAUUUUGGAGAUUAAUUGAAUUUGGUAAAUUUUAUAAAAAGAAGUUUAGAUUGAUAAAUUUUUGGUUCGCUUAUGUUUUAGCACUUGCAUCAUUAAUUAAAAAAAAUCCCUAUACAUAUUUUUGGAAAAUUUACAUAUAGCUUAUUAUAUAAAGUUUGGUUUUUAAAGUUAAUAGCUCACAUUAUUACGAUACGUGUCAAUUUUAUAGAUUAGAUUGCGACACAUGUAAAACAAUUUUAAAAAAAAUAGUUACUGAACUGGCAAAUUCAGCGAACUAGUAUCGAUUUUGAACGCUGGAACCGGUAAACCAAUGUUACUAUGAGAGCGUCUGGUAGCUCAUUAGGGCCUAGGCGGCGCCUAAACCGAUUUUUUAAACCUUUGAAUUUGAUGAAGCAAACCUUUGAAUUUGAUGAAGCAACCGAGGGAGAGCAAAAGAAAGCAGAAGGCUAAGAGAUAAUUCUCAAAUCGGUAGAGCAAUUGAGCAAUAAAAUGUGUAUACAGUUUAUUGUUUCUUCCACAGCCACCACAUCUUAGGCAUUAAGAAUCACACUCUAUAGAACCUAACGAAACCAAAGAAAAAUUUACUCAAGUUUUGGCCUACGCAUAAAUUAUAUCUUAGAAUUUAUAUUGAAAUAGCUGUGAAAUGUUUUGUUGGUCAGAUACCACCAAAUGUAUUUGAACCUUCGAUUAAAUUUGCAAAAGAGACAGCUUCAAUGAGAACAUGAAGAAGAAGAAGAGCAAAGAAGAAGCUCAAGCUAAGAUUUUAACCAAGUAGUUAAAAUUUUAAUAAUAUAAUUGUAACUGCGUAUCAUGCAAAAAACAAAAAUCGAAUGUUCAGAUAAAAGUUUUAAAAAAUGUAAAUGAUACUAUGUGAAAAAUCUGUUGUUUAUACAUAUUUUUCCAUCCUAUUAAAAAUAGUAUAAAAAUUCAAGUAACUCGUAAGAUUUCGGCUCCGAUAUUAACUGUAUCGUAAUCAUCAAAUAACCGUAACUGUUAUAACCGUAUUGUAAUUAUCAAAUAACCGUAACCGUAUUUAACCAUAACCGUUGUAACCGUAACCAUUUUUAAUCAUAACCGUUUUAACCGUAUUUAUAACCGUAACCGGUGGUUAAUCAACCGUAACCGUAAUAAACGUAACCGUGGUCGUCUCUAAGUGUGUGUUAAGUAGAAGUAGUAUAUGUAUGUGAGUGUGUCUUGUAAGAAAGAUUAUAUCUUGAUCCAAUAAACAAAAUGUAGACAAUUUAAUGUUUACUAAACGCUUAUGUCUUAGUUAGAACAAGAAACAAAACAAAGAAUAAGACAAGAGAUAGAGGGAGUAAGGUUCACCGAGUGUUUCUGUUAAAACAGAGAUACAUGAGAGGAUGAGGGAGCUGACCUCAAAGAGUGUGAAGUGGUCAGAAAUGCAACACUAACAUUACAAUAAAUGCAAAAUCAAACGAGUUACAAUUAACGUCUGUAAUCGAGUUACAAUCCUCAUCAAGCAUAACGACAAUGGGCGGGAUAAGAAAAACAAACGAUAUAGAUAGAGUUUCCAUAGGAAUACCACAACCGUCUUACUAUUGGUUCAACUUCUUGACGCAAAUUCUCAUCUUCAACAUUUCACCACGCAAUAAACUGUUAGGGAUCAACAUGAAAUUCUCUUGAGGGGUUUGAAAAUUCAAUUUAAGAACUCUCUUCACAUCCGGUGAUUUGUAAAUCAUAGUGUGCCCAUCCACGGUAUAGGAGAGACGAUAUGAGAACUGUCCUACUUCUGGAGCAGAUGGUGCAAUGCAGCUUACGGUUACAUACACACCACAUGGGUCCCUAAAACACUGCACUGCAAACAAGAUUCUCUUCAUGUAUUCCAUUCUAAUUAAUAUCUUCUUAUCGCUGCUGAUGUUCAUCUUGACAAUAGAGGGAAUGUCACAAAUGAACUUAUGAAGCUGGUAUACUUUCAUAUGGGUAAUACGAUAGUGAGUGUAGAGAUCCUUGUAUGAGCUAGUGUAAUUGCAGUCCUCUACAGGGCAUGAGCAUUGAGAGAAGAUGCAUUCUUUUUCAUGAGUUGAUUCUUUCCCAUAAGAUACCUUCUUUGUGCAACCUAACUUUGCGUUCGGACAUGGGAUCAAGAUCGAUUCAAGAACACUCUCCAUUCCUCUGCAACGAUUAUGGCCAAUAGGCAGAGCACAUGUAGGGCAUUUAUUACUCAGGGUGGGACAGCAAGAAGAACAAGCCAAAUGUCCAUUAUCACACUGAAAUCCAAAACAAAUAACUUGUGUUAAAAGCUCUAACAACGUAGAGAUAAUAUUCAUAACUUGUGACUAAGGAUGAUGUACUCUCCAUAAAUGAUUCCCGUAUAGACUUCGAUCUUGCCGAGUUAUACACAUAUUUUCAAGAACUAUACAACUGCAAACAUUAACAUAUCUUACAAAAGUUCACUAGAAUCCUCAAAAUCAUCAAAAAUUAAAGCUAAUGUUACUCUUGAAAUCUAGUAAAUGGACACAAUUUCAACUUCUUCUCCUUCCUAAUGAAUAUGAGUUUCUUUAACAUAACUUUCAAAAGUUCACUAGAAUCCUCAAAAUCAUCAAAAGCUAAGGAUACUCUUAGAAUCUAGUAAAUGGCCACAAUUCCAACUACAUACAGAGUCUAGUAAAUCGAAGAAGUAACAACACCUGGAAGAUAGGAAUUGUGAAAGCUUCGUAGCAAAUGGGACAAUCGAGAAUCUCCAGAUCCAUUAGCAUCGUCGAGCGUUUCUUAGAGACUCUCUUCACUCUAUCACUGGAAGUGAUGUAUAUACUCUUAUACUCAAUAACUUAAACCCUAAUUUGAUUUUACUUCUGUCGGAAACUGAGAGAGGAAAAUAGAUAAGUUAGUUGAUUGUUGUUCAUUACAGUGAAAGGAGAGAGACUCGGGUUAAAGUUAUCGAGUAUAAGAGUAUAUACAGUUAUAAAAGUUAUGGUGCAGUUAUAACUUACGAUCUAUACUAUUAAUCGAGAAUGAGGGACAUGUUGUAAACUUAUUGUUUUUCUCUUCUAUUAAUGAAUGAAACUCGUUAUACAUAUAUACAUAAUGAGAGGAGACAAAUCCUCAUUGGGUUAGUAAACCCUAAAGCCCAAAAGCCCACUAAGUAUAAAAUGGAUCCUAAAAGGAGAAUCUUCUAGAACAUGGGCAUGGGCCUUCUAGAAUAUGCAUAAGGCCCACGGUUAUGGAGUCCAUCCAACAUGUGGUUUAUAACACUCCCCCUUGGAUGACAUAACCGUGUAGAUGCCAAAGGAUCUCAGCAAUACGCUUGGGGAUGCUGCCUCAUUAAAACCUUACCAGGAAAACCCAUUGGGAUAAAACCAUGGUGAAGGAAAAAGAGUACAGCACGUAUUACUCCCCCUGAUUUGGUCAUCCCUGUAAGUCCUUAAGUCUCCGCAUCCCAAUCUGAUGCGUGAGCUUCCUCAAUGUUGAUGUUGGUAACGCCUUAGUGAAUAGGUCUGCUGAAUUGUCACAUGAUUGGACUUGUACCACUUGAACUUCUCCAUCCCUUUGCAAGUCAUGCGUGAAGAAGAACUUUGGUAGAAUGUGCUUCGUCCGAUCUCCCUUGAUGUAGCCGUCCUUGAGCUGAGCGAUGCAGGCUGCAUUGUCCUCGUACAUGACCGUUGGUUCCUUCUCUUCGUCCAUGCCACAAUCAGACCGUAUGUGUUGAGUCAUUGACCUUAACCACACACACUCACGGCUGGCCUCAUGUAUCGCCAAGAUCUCCGCGUGGUUGGAUGAAGUGGCUGAGAUGGUUUGCUUCAUUGAACGCCACGAAAUCGCGGUCCCACCGUGCGUGAACACAUAACCUGUUUGUGACUUACCAUUAUGCGGAUCUGAUAAAUAACCUGCAUCAGCAAAACCAACUAAACCUUCCUUGUUAUGGUUAGUAUAAAAUAAACCCAAAUCAGCAGUUCCUUGUAAAUAACGUAAAAGAUGCUUAAUUCCGUUCCAGUGCCUUUGGGUCGGACACGAGCUAAAUCUCGAUAGGAGGUUCACGGCAAAACAAAUGUCUGGUCUAGUGUGGCUAGCCAAGUACAUUAACGCUCCUAUGGCACUGAGGUAUGGCACUUCAGGACCGAGAACUUCUUCCUCGUCCUUCUUUGGACCGAAUGGAUCACUAUCCAAUCCGAGGCUUCUCACCACCAUUGGGCUGCUCAAUGGGUGGGCCUGGUCCAUAUUGAAUCUCUUGAGUACUUUUUCAGUAUAUGCCUUUUGAUGCACAAGGAUUCCAUUAUUCACGUACUCAAGUUGCAAUCCCAAACAGAAUUUUGUCUUGCCUAGGUCUUUCAUCUCGAAUUCUUUCUUUAGAUAUUCGACUGUUUGGGCGAUUUCCCCAGAGGUUCCAAGGAUGUUCAAAUCAUCCACAUAUACUGCUAUUAUCACAAAUCCUUUGUUUGCGAAUUUCUUUAUGAAGAUACAUGGACUGAUGGGAUCAUUUUUAUAACCUUCUCUGACUAAGUAAUCGCUUAAUCUAUUGUACCACAUGCGCCCACUUUGUUUCAGUCCAUAAAGCGAUUUGUUCAGCCUUAUGCAGUAUUGGUCCCGAGACACUUUCUUAUCUUUAUCUUUGAGCUCAAUACCCUCUGGUAAUCUCAUAUAUAUUUCGUUAUCCAGUGGACCAUAUAGAUAAGCGGUCACAACAUCCAUUAACCGCAAAUCAAGUUUUUCUCUUAUUGCCAGACUUAUUAAGUAUCUAAAAGUCGUUGCAUCCACCACAGGGGAGUAUGUUUCUUCAUAAUCUAUCCCCGGUCUUUGUGAGAAUCCUUGUGCUACAAGCCGUGCCUUGUGUCUCACGAUUUCAUUAUUUUCAUUUCUCUUUCUUACAAAGACCCAUUUGUGUCCUACUGGUUUUAUCUCAGAUGGUGUCCUUAAUAUCGGACCAAACACAUCUCUUUUCUUUAAUGAACUUAACUCCACGUUUAUGGCUUCUUUCCAUUUUAGCCAAUCUGAUCUUUGAGUGCACUCUAAUAUAGACGUGGGUUCAUGAUCCUCAUUUAUUUCAAUUGCUACCUUAUAUGCAAAUAUUUCAUCGAUGUCGACAUCUUUUCGGUUCCAUUUUAUUCCAGACAUGAUAUAAUUUAUUGAUUUUUCAUUAUCAUCUAUCCCUUCAGGACCAUGAGGAUUGGCGUCCCAAAUCUCUCUAUUCGGUUCCUUAGGGUCUGCCGCGGCCAUGUCUAUGGUUUCCUUCACCUCGUUUCCUACUGCACCUUUCUUUGAUUUUCGAGGAUUUUUAUCUUUGGAACCUAUUGGUCUACCACGUUUCUUACGUGCGUUAGACUCUGUAGCAAUUUCAUUAAUUCCCUUUUGGAUAUCAAUACGUACUGGUGCAUUACAAGCUGGUAUGUACGAUUUUGUAACUCUCUUUGGGUCAACAAAGGAAUCUGGCAAUUCAUUAGCUAGCUUUUGCAAAUUUAUUAUUUUCUGGACCUCUGAUUCACAUGCCAGAGUCCGAGGAUCUUGCCAAUUCAAGGAUGUUUGAUUCCAUGAUAUUUCUUUUAUAUCUUUACCCAGCUUGUUCGUCUCUCCACCUAAAGUAGGAAAUUCGGAUUCAUUAAAAUGACAAUCCGCGUAUCUAGCCUUAAAUAGAUCACCCGUAGUUGGCUCUAGAUACUUGAUAAUGGUGGGAGAAUCAAAUCCAACAUAUAUUCCCAUCCUCCUUUGAGGUCCCAUCUUUGUUCUAUGUGGUGGAGCAAUCGGUACAUAUACGGCACACCCGAAAGUCUUUAGGUGGGAUAUGUCUGGCUCAUGACCCAUGAGUAAUUGGGAUGGUGAAUAUCUAUGUUCACUAGAUGGCCUUAUGCGUAUAAGUUCUGAUGCAUGUAAAACAGCGUGUCCCCAAGCGGCUACUGGGAGCUUCGACCUCAUGAGUAACGGUCGAGCUAUCAAUUGAAUUCGUUUAAUGAAGGAUUCCGCUAAUCCAUUCUGUGUAUGUACAUGUGCUACGGGAUGUUCCACACUUACCCCCAUGGACAUACAGUAGUCAUUAAACGCUUGGGACGUGAAUUCACCGGCAUUGUCUAGACGUAUAGUCUUAAGCGGAAAAUCUGGAAAGUGGGCUCGCAGUCUUAUUAUCUGGGCCAAUAAUCUAGCAAACGCUUGGUUUCUAGAAGAUAGAAGACAAACAUGCGACCAUCUUGUCGAUGCGUCAAUGAGGACCAUAAAAUAUCUAAACGUCCCACAUGGUGGGUGUAUUGGUCCACAUAUGUCUCCUUGUAUCCUUUCCAGAAAACUUAUGGUCUCUUUAUUUAUCUUAGCCGGUGAUGGCCUUAUAGUGAGUUUCCCUUGUGAACAUGCUUCACACGUGAGAUUCUUAGGGAUAACUCCUUUCUCUUUUAGGGUGUGCCCCUUUGAAUUAGUCAUUAAUUUACGCAUCAUAUUAUGACCCGGAUGGCCAAGCCGGUCAUGCCAUAAAGUGAAUUUUUCGAUGAACUCUUUGUUCAUUGCCAUAUUAGCUUCGAUCAUAUCGAUUUUAGCAUAGUAGAGACCAGUGGAUAAUGCGGGUAUAGUCUCUAGGACUUUCUUAUGUCCUUGGGUGAUCUCAAUUAUAUUUAGGAAUUCUUUGUUCCCUUCACCCUUUGUUUCAAUAUGGAAACCAUUCAAUCUUAUAUCUUUGAAACUUAGUAAGCUCCUCUUUGAGCUGGGUGAGUAUAGGGCAUCGCUUAUUUCAAGAUGCGUGCCCUUUGAUAAAAGGAUAUGGGCUUGACCGUGGCCCUCAAUGAGACUAGCUAUACCCGCUAUGGUGCUAAUAUUGGCAUUUUUCAAUGUUAGAUUUAUAAAGUAUCUUUUGUCUUUUAAAAUUGUGUGGCUCGAUCCACUAUCCACCACAAGUAUAUUCUUGUCAUCGGCCAUUUCUAAUAUUGACAAGAAAAUAUGUCUUAGAUUAUAAAGCAAACGAUUAUAUUAAAAGCAAAUUAAACUUAAAUUUAAAUCCAAGACAUAAUAGUAUUCAAAAAAAACAUAGAAUAGGAUUCAAAGACAUAGAGCAUGAAAACAUAAAGCAAAUUAAAGCAAAUAAAAAAAAACAAGAUGUCGAAUUUAAUUUUCCUCUCUUAAGCAAUCCGAAGUCUCAUACUCCAAUUGGUCAUCGUUCUCAUGGUCGAAAUCUCCAUCACCAUCGAGAUGAGCCAAAUUGGCUUCGGGAUUCUUCUUUAUCAUUUCUUGAUAAGCAUCGAUUAGAUGUUUAGAUGUUCUGCACGUCUUAGCCCAAUGAUUGUCCAUUCCGCAUCUAUGGCAAACGGAUUUGGCCUUGUGUUGCGGUUUGAAGAUUCCGCGGCCACGACCUCGACCAUUGUUCCCACGGCCUCUACCACCAUGGUGGUUUCCUCGGCCGUAGGAGUUAUGGUUGCUGCGACCACCACCACGCCCUCUACCACGGCCACGGCCGUGAUACCUUCUAUGGACGUAGUUGGUUUCUUUGGUCUCUCGAGGUUCUUUGGCUAUUUCGGCCUUAUGGGCUUCCGGCAACGGUGUGGAUCCUGGAGGUCUCAUUGAGCUAUUCAUUAGUAAUAGCUCAUUAUUCUUUUCAGCAAGAAGUAAGCAGGAGAUCAAACUUGCAUAUGUUUUGAAUUUCAUUCCACGGUAUUGUUGCUGAAGUACCACGUUAUUAGGGUGGAAUGUUGAGUAUGUUUUCUCAAGCAAGUUAUUAUCAGUCACCGUUUCACCACAUAGCCUCAGGAUUGAGACAAUCUUAAAAAGCUCGGAGUUAUACUCCUCCACGGAUUUGAAAUCCUGGAUCCUGAGGUUUUUCCAAUCAUAUUGGGCUCUCGGUAAGAGAACCGUCUUUUGGUGAUCGUAUCGAUUCUUCAACUCGACCCAAAGGUCGAGAGGAUCCUCGAUAGUAAGGUACUGAUUCUUAAGGCUCUCUGCUAGGUGAUGGCGUAUAAACGCAAUCGCCUUAAACUUUGACCUCUUCUCACACUCGUUGUUUUCCAUAAUGCACUCGGCGAGAUCUUUGGAUUCAAGGGCUAUCUUAAUGUCCAAUGCCCAUUGUAAGUAGUUGUCGCCGGAAACGUUGAGUGCAGAAAACUCGAGGUUCUUUGUUUUCGACAUCUACAAGCAAAAGAAGAUUGAGUCAAAAUCAUGUAAUCGUUAAUGUCAUGUGGUAUUAAAAACCAAACAUGAAUCGAUUUACUUAAGGAUUUGACUUUCCUCAUAGGGUUAAAAUUCCUUUUCAAAAAAAAUCCUAAUUUGAUUAGGGUUUUAGAGUUUUAAGGUUUCCUAUUUUAUUUAAUAUUUUUAGGGUUUAGGAUUUCCUAUUUUAUUUAAGAUUUUAGGAUUUCUUAUUAUUCCUAGGAUUUAGGGUUUUAAAGAUUUCCUAUUAUCCUUAAGAUUUAGGGUUUUAAAGAUUUCCUAUUAUCCCUAAGAUUUAGGGUUUUAAAGAUUUCCUAUUAUCCCUAAGAUUUAGGGUUUCCUAUUUUAUUUAGGAUUUUAAGGAUUUCCUAGAUUUUAGGGUUUUAGGAUUUUCUAGAUUUUAGGGUUUCCUAUUUUGUUUAGGAUUUUAAGGAUUCCUAGAAUUUAGGGUUUUAAAGAUUUCUUUUAGGAUUAUCUUUUCUAGGUUUUCUAGGGUUCAUGCAAUUUUAGUUUUAGGGUGAUAAGCAUGUAAACAAUCAAAGGAGCAAACAAUCUAACAACCUAAAACAACCUCAAUCAAGCCGAUUUAAACUUAUGGAAUUUUUUUGGAUUAGAUUCGUUUUAGGUUUUAGGUUUUUAGAUCUUUAAAGUUUCGGUUAUUAGCCUUAUGUAUUUUCGUUUUACGAUUUUAGGUUUAGACAAUAAAACUUCUCUAGCAACUUAGGCGAUUUUAUCAUAAGCAAUAACCAACUUUUCUAGCAACCUAAACGAGUCAAAUAAUCGGAUCUCACAAGCAAUAGCAAUCGUUUAAACAAUCAAGAUUCGUUUUAGUGUCUUAGCCGUUUGUUAAUUUCGAGUUCAUGAUCGGUUUUCAUAAGUAAGAAGCAAUCGUUUAUACAAUAGAACUUGUCUAGUAACUUAGGCGAGUUUAGUUUAAGCAAUAAUCAAUCCUUUUCUAGCAACCUAAACGAUUCAAACAAACGGAUCUUACAAGCAAUAAGAUUACUUAAACAUUCAAGGUUCGUUUUAGGUUUCUACCGAUCGUUAGAUUCAAGUUCAUAAUCAGUUUUCACAAGUAAUAGCGAUCACUUAAGCAAUCAAGACUCGUUUUAGGGUUUCCACCGUUCGUUAGGUUCAAAUUCAUAAUCGGUUCUUUAGCUUUUAGGGUUUUGGUUUUUACCUUUCACCUUUUUGGGGUUGUAUGGAUUGGAACCGGGAGCUAAAGACCUCGGUUAUCAAGCUUAUCACGAACGUGUGGUGCUAGGAGGAGAUCGCCGAUCAAAGAGCAAAGCGAGUGGUCGGCGGUUGGUAGCUUCAAGCGGUGGGCGAACUCGGCGAGUUUAGGUUUAGGGUUUUUAGGGUUUUGUUAAGAGCAACUCGUGCUGAUAACGUGUUGUAAACUUAUUGUUUUUCUCUUCUAUUAAUGAAUGAAACUCGUUAUACAUAUAUACAUAAUGAGAGGAGACAAAUCCUCAUUGGGUUAGUAAACCCUAAAGCCCAAAAGCCCACUAAGUAUAAAAUGGAUCCUAAAAGGAGAAUCUUCUAGAACAUGGGCAUGGGCCUUCUAGAAUAUGCAUAAGGCCCACGGUUAUGGAGUCCAUCCAACAUGUGGUUUAUAACAGGACAAGAAAAAUGACAAGCCAAUUGAGCCAAUUUCAUUUUCGUCGGCUGGUUUAGUUCAAACAAAUUUUUUUUAACGGUAUAAUGGUAAUUUUAUCAUGUCAAUUGAGCCACAUCUGAGCCGUUUAAAUUACUUGAUCUGUUACAAACUCGCGAAUCUAAAAUCAGACGAUGGGUCAGUUCAAGUUUUCACCCGAUUACAUGUUCCUGAUCUUUUAAAUUUUUUCUUUUCCGCCUCUUAAUCACAACAAUAUAUGGGAGUUAUGCAAAAAUAGAAACUCAAUAUUACUAGAAAGAUUUUCUAAUAUUCUCGAUAUCGUUGCUAACAAUAAAUUAAAACAACAAAAUAUUCUGAAUAUCGAAUUUACAUUUGCGAAUACCAAUAAAAAAGGCAUCAUUUCUAUAUUCUCUUUAUAACAAGAUAUUUAGGUAGCAUAUCAUUACGUGCAAACCCUAUCUUUGCAUCUAUGUCAUAGCCGUCUACCUUAAUAGUAUAAAUAUGUGUCAACUCUUUUCAUUUCUUUAGAGCUUGACUGGUUUAAACGCUGCGGUUGCAGUUGCGGUUGCGGGAGUUUGCGGAAGCGGGCGGUUGCGGGUUCAAGCGUUAACAAGCGUUUUGAACGACUGGUUUAGCGUUUGAAAAUGGGUGCCUUUGCGGAAAUUUUAUGAUUGGUAAACCAGCGGAUGCGGUAGCAGUUAAAUAAAAAAAUGACCAAAAUAAAUAAAAAAAUAUUACAAAAAAAAGAAAUAAAAAAAACCAAUAUAUUAUUAUGAUAAUAUUAGAAAAAUUGAACAUGCUUAAGAAUUAAAACCAUAAAUAAAGUACUAAAUAAUUAUUCAAAAAUAAAAAAAGAUUUGUAACAAGAUAGUACUUUAUGCAUCUGGUUUAACAUCAAAAAUUGCAUCAAGUAAUGGGACAAACUGUAAAUAACGUUGAAUUCAAUCAAAAAGCAAGUGAGUUUCUAUUCGAGAAAACAAAUCGAAACAUAUAUUCAAUCAAAAAACAAAGCAAUACGUAAUGAAAAGAAAAAAAACGAUGCCAUGAACAAUAUUCAAAAAGUUACACAUGAGGUGAUGAAUGAAUAAAAGGAUAUAUGAUACUUACGUUUGGUUAUUGAUUUUCAUCACUUUGGGUAGAAGACAUUGAGAGAAUAGGGUUUCAGAAUAUUACUAGAUCAUGACCCGCACAUACGUGCGGGGUUUCAUAUUUUAAAAUUUUUUUAACAAAUUUUAAUUAAAUAUAGAUUAUUUUAUUGUUUUUAACUUUUUAUGAUAUAUAUUUUAGUGUAUUAGAUCUGGAUCCACAUACGUGUAGAGAUAUUUUUAUAGAAAUUUUUAUAGAGAUUUAAAAAUAUAAAAUAUUUGUUGUGUUAGUGAACUUCGUAAUAGUAUAAAUAUUAUAAGUUAGAGUAAUGAACAAAAUUCAGUUGCGUUAAUGCAUAAUUAUAUUUUAAGAUCCGGACUAAUUUAGUUGCAAAAGUUAAGUGGUGUUACAUUUUUAUUUUCUUAACUAAUCAAAACAGUUCUAAUGAUUACAUAUGUUAAAUAGGAUAUGAAUUUGGUUUUAGUUUGGGUUAUUUCAUGUAUAUUAGCUAGGCGUAACUAUUUUGGAACAUGAAAAUAUCCCGUCCGGUAUCCGUCAUAAAUUCUUUGUCCCAUAAUUUGUCACGUAUACGUAAAAUAAAAAUAUUAUAGUCCCAUAUCUGUCAUAAAUAGAGUAUGUGUAAUUGAAAAUGUAUGUACAUGGUUACAUGUGUAAACAAAUUUAUUUUAUAUAGUGCUCAUAACCCGAACUCAUGCCAGUUGGGUAUUUAGUUUGAUUUUUAAUAUAUGUUCCCCUCCCAUCUCGUCUCGUAAUUUCUAUUUCCAUUUUAUUCCAUUAAAAUCAUAUUCCAAAUUCUUGUUUGCUUACUUUUAAAUAUCAUAUAAUAUUAUAAUAUAUAUUGUGAGUUUUGCGGAUUAAUAUGUAUACCGUUAAAGUUACAAAUAUAUUUAAACAAAUUUAUUAGUGUUUCUAGCUAAAUUUUGCAUAUUUUUCUUUUCAUUGUUUAAUCAUAAUUAAUUCGAUUUUUGGGACUAAAAUUAAAAUUUGAGAUACAUCUAUAAAAGGGAUAUACUAUUGCUGCAUAAUUUGUUUUGAAUGCAAAAUAUAUAAUUAGUUCACAUUAUUUCGAAAAUUGUGUGCAAUAUAUUAUGGAUUUGUUUAAGGAAGAUCCGGUUGAAAAGAAAAAAAAAAACACAAAAUAUUUCGAAAUUAAUAUGUACAAUCUUUUGUUUAGAUAUUUCCGAAACUUUCUCUAAACGAAGGCAAUAACGAUAAUUACUUUAAAUUUAUCAUUAUUUGAGUUUAUUUCAUAGUAAAUAUAAAUAUUUGUUAAUAUCUAAUAUCGUUUUUUUUUAAAUUGUGAAAUAAAAUUUUGUUUUAUAUCUCAAAAUUUGUGAAAAUAUUAUAACAAAACUGAGUCAUAAAUAUUUGUAUUUAAUUUUUAUAUGAAAUUUCAAAUUCAAUAUUAAAAUUCUCCAUUGAUAAAAAACUUUUUAAACGAUAGUGUUUUUAUAUUUUGAAUUAAAAUGGUAUUAUUUUUCUUUUUAUUUUUGAUAUAGAAUAGUUUAUUAGGAUUGGUUUAGAUAAAAUUUUAGUUGGAUAUCAAAUCUUAUUUUUUUCAAUUCUCAUUGGUUAACAACUUUUUAGAAUUUUUUUUUUAAUUUUCGUCCAUAAUUAAUAUGAGAGAGAAAGUGAGUUUAAUUUUUUGGAAACUAAUAAUUACUUUAAAGAAUUUUACUAUUUUUAUUUAAAUAUAUUAUUUAAAAACAAAAAACAAUGGCAUUUUUGUAAUACUUUACAUUUUAUAAGGUUAUUUAUGUUUGAGUGCUUCCCAAUUAAUAGUAUAGAUUAGGGUUUCUGAUGAGAACGUGAUACAAAGAUGAAAGAUAUAUAUAGGAUUAAUAUAUAUUAUAAUAAUUAUAAGUAAACGUUUGAUUUUUUUUUUUAAAAAAAAAAAUCCAACCGCAAACGCUUGCGGGAAGGAGCUUUUAAAAUUCAGCGAUUUCGAGCGGUACAGAAUGGUUUCUAUGAUUGGUACCAACCGCUAACAACCGCAAUCGACCGCUAGCAACCGCUAGGAGGGUGCUAGCGGGAGAACCAAUCAAGCCCUUAACCAUCACAAUUCCACUAUAGUUCCAAACAUUUACAAAUGUGUUUACCACUCGGUUUAACUUACCUCAAAGAUGUAAAACCUUUCAAAUCAAAUUAGCGUGUCCGUGUGAAGGUUCUCCACAUGUGGAGGCAAUAUCAAUCAUCAGGAGAGACUUUAGAUGUUGUUUUAUGUGAUGAAAAUGUAUUAUAUAUUUCUUAAAUUUAAUUAUUUCAAUUCUAUGUUUUAAAUUUAAUGUAGAUGUCAUUUUUUAAACAGGGUACUAAGAUGCACGCCACCAUUAGGGAGGCAUUUAUCGGAACAUAUCAAAAGUUUUUAAAGGUCGGUGAUUGGAAGAUCAUUGACAAUUUUACGUCUAAGUGGAUGAUUGGAUGAUUGGAAUACCACAACCACCACAUCUUAGGCUAGGCAUUAAGAAUCACACUCUAUAGAACCUAACGAAACCAAAGAAAAAUAUACUCCAGUUUUGGCCUAUGCAUAGUUGUGAAUCAAAGGUUCAAAUCCAACAGUUAGACAUUUGGUGGUUUCUGACCAACAAAACAUUUCACAACUAUUUUAAUGAGAACAUGAAGAAGAAGAAGACGUAGAAGAAGAAGAAGACGUAGAAGAAGAAGAAGAGCAAAGAAGAAGCUCAAGCAAAAGACGAAGACGCAUCGAAGAAGAUGAAGUUGUCGUGAAGAGAGUCAACGACACAAGAGGAGAAGAAGCACAAGUCAACAAGAAGAAGCUGGGCUUGAGUGUUUUUGUAAUGGGCUAAAGAUGAAUUAAGACCCAAGUGAAGAAGUGUAUUGUAAUUUGUAAGUUAGAAUUGAAGUCAGUUGUUUGUCCAAAAAAAAAAAAAAAAAAAAGAAUUGAAGUGAGUUGUUGGAGUUGUUAGAGUCUAAGGUGAGCUGUUAGUAGAAGCAUGAUCUAAAGUAUGAUGUAAGUGUUAGGUUGAGUCAUGAUUAGGUCUAAGUGCAAGUGUGUUUUAAGUAUAAGUAGUUUAUGUAUGUGAGUGUGUCUUGUAAGAAAGAUUAUCUCUUGAUCCAAUAAACAAAAUGUAUACAAUUAAUGUUUUCUCUCUACUCUCUUACUAAACGCUUAUGCCUUUGUUAGAACAAGAAACAAAACAAAGAAUAAGGAGUUAGAGAGAGUAAGGUUCUCCUUGUGUUUCUGUUAAAACAGAGAUACAUGAGAGAAUGAGGGAGCAGACCUCAAAGAGUGUGAAGAGGUCAGAAAUGCAACACUAACAUUACAGUAAAUGCAAAAUCAAACGAGUUACAAUUAACAUCUGUAAUCGAGCUACAACCCUCAUCAAGCAUGGGCGGGCGGGUUAAGAAUACCACAAGCACAACCUUCUUACUCUUGCUUCAACUCCUUGAUUAAAAGCUUCAUGUCCAACAUGUCACCACGCAAUAAAUUGUUAGGGAUCAACAUGAAAUUCUCUUGAGGAGUUUGAAAACUCACUUCAAGAAUCAUCUUCAUCUUUGGCGAUUUGUAAGUCAUAGUUUGUCCAUCCACAGUGUAGGAGAGAUCAUAUGAGAAAUUUCCUACUUCUGGAGCAGAUGGUGCAAUACAGCUUACAGUUACAUACACACCGUACGGUUCCUGGAAACACUGCACCGCAAACAAAAGAGCCUUUGUGUACUCCAGUCUAAUUAACAUCUUCUCGCUGAUGUUUAUCCGGAUACUAAAGAAACUGCCACAACAGAACUUAUUAAGAUGAUAUACCUCCAAGUGGGUAGUAUGAUAGUGACGGUAGAGAUCCUUGUAUGAGCAAGUAUAAUUGCAAUCCAAUGCAGGGCAGGAGCAUUGAGAGAAGAUGCAUUCCUUUUCAUGAGUUGAUUCUUUCCCAUAAGAGAACUUCUUUGUGCAACCUAACUUAGCGUUUGGACAUGGGACCAAGAUCGAUUCAAGAACACUCUCCAUUGCUCUGCAGCGAUUGUGGCCAACAGGCGAAGCACAAGCAGGGCAUUUAUUAUUCAGUUUGGGACAGCAAGAAGAACAAGCCAGAUGUCCAUUAUCACACUGAAAUUCAAAACCAAUAACUUGUGAUUAAAAGCUCUAACAACGUAUAGAUAAUAUUCAUCGACUAUGGAUGAUGUACUCUCCGUAAAUGAUUCCCGAUAUAGACUUCAAUCUUGCCGAGUUAUACACAUAUUUUCAAGAACUAUACAACUGCAAACAUGAACAUAUCUUACAAAAGUUCACUAGAAUCCUCAAAAUCAUCAAAAAUUAAAGCUAAUGUUACUCUUGAAAUCUAGUAAAUGGACACAAUUCCAACUUCUUCUCCUUCCUAAUGAGUUGCCAAAACAGAAACAGAAACUUCUAAUGAAUAUGAGUUUCUUUAACAUCACUUUCAAAAGUUCACUAGAAUCCUCAAAAUCAUAAAAAGCUAAGGAUACUCUUAGAAUCUAGUAAAUGGCCACAGUUACAACUAUAUGCAGAGUCUAACACACAUAUCAAAAGCUUGACAAUCAAUUCUAAUUACCAAAACAGAAAGUCUCUGCAAUACUAAGGAUACUCUUAAAAUCUAGUAAAUGGGCACAAUUCCAACUUCUUCUUCUUCCUAAUGAGUUUGAACCACUUCUAGUUAUCAAAACAGAAAUUCUUUGAAUCAAUCGGAGAAGUAACAAAACCUGGAAGAUAGGAAUUGUGAAAGCUUCGUAGCAAAUAGGACAAUCGAGAAUCUCCAGUUCCAUUAGCAUAAUCGAGCGUUUUUUAGCGUCUCUCUUGGCUCCAUCACUGGAAGAAAGUUGUCUCUUUUGCGAGAGAAUGCUGUUAGAUCCAAUUCCUUCGCCGGAAGAUUCCGAAAUCGCGGCUCCAACCAUAUCGGAGAGAUGGCUAAACCCUAAUUUGAUUUUACUCUGAUCAGAAAUUGAGAGAGGAAAAUAGAGAAUUUAGUGCAGAGCAAUAAAGAGAAAAGAGAGAGAGAAUAAAUACCAAAAGAGAAUGGCACAAACUGUAAAUAGACAAUGGCACAAACUAUAGUUAAUAUGGGCUUCGAUGAUUCUUCAAUUCCCAAUCGAGGCCCAAAUCUGAGAUCAUCAUAACAGAAAACAUAACUGAGGAAACAAUUUUAUUAAAUCUUAAAGUUAUUUCUAGUAGUUUUUAUAAACUAAAAUAAUAUAACUGUAUAUUUCUACCAAAAAUAAAAUAAUAUAACUGUAUAUUUACUCUUGAUAGUGUAUGUUUUAUUUUAUUUUUUAUGAUAGCAAAAUAUAUAAUUUUUAUUUAAAAUUUGUUUUUCUUUUGUCAAAAGCGAAAACUAACCGAAAGUGCAUAACCGGAGGAUAAAGCUCCAUGGUCACCAAAAUUACAGAGUGAAAAGUUUAGCGGUAGAAUCUGCAGUUUCAUUGGAUAAACGAGAAAUUUUAUAGAAGUCGUUAACAAUGAUUUUUAUCUAAAAGUUGUUAAUAAUGUAUGACUUGCUUAGAGAUAGUCUUGUGUAGUGAGAAAGUUGUCAUAAUGUCUGUCUUCUUUUAUAAUCUUAUCAUAGUCUUGAAACUUGAUUUCUUUGGUAUCUACAGAUCAUUAGCUAAAUUAACUUGGUGAUUUAUUUUUUUUCCUAUUGUGUUGCAAGGAAAAAAUGGUUGGGGCAUUAAGGGCUUGACUGAUUUAAACGCAGCGGUUGCGAUUGCAGCUAUGAGUAUUUGCGAAAGCGGGCAAUUGCGGUUUUAAUGUUAUUUAUAGCGGUUGAAAACAGGUGCGUUUGUGGAAGAUUUACGACUAGUUGAUCAGUGGAUACGAUAGCCGUUAAACCAAAAUUUACCAAAAUAAAUGUAAAAUAUAAUUGUGAAACUAUAAAAACACCAAAAACUAUAUUUAUGAAAAAGUAUAAUUUUUUUAAACAUGACUAAUAAUUAAUAACCAUAAAUAACUACUACAUAAUUAUUCAAAUAUUAAAACAAAUAAUUUUAUAGUAAAACAUAAAUAAUUAUUAAUAUUGGAAAAUUAAAGUUAGAUAAUAAUUUUUUUUUAGAAUUAAUGCGAAUAUAUAUAUAUAUAUAUAUAUAUAUAUAUAUAUAUAUAUAUGAUUUGAUAAUAUAUAUUUUAAUUUGUUGAUUUUCUUUUUUUAGUUUCUUUCAUUUUUAAACCAACCGCAACCGCAUACGCUUGCGGAAAAGAGCUUUUGAAAUUCAGCGAUUUUGAGCAGUCUAAAACGGUAUGGAGCAGUUUUUACAAUUAGUAUCAACCGUUAACAACCGCAACCGACCGCUAACAAUCGCUAUGCGGGUUCUAGCAGGAGAACCAAUCAAACCCUAAGUACAUUAAGAGUGGAUUAAUUUUGUGGUGUAAGUAGACCCUUGAGCUGAACCGUAAAAGAUGUGUUAUUAAAAGGAAGGUCUUUUAGUUGCCCUUUCUAAAAAGAGAAUGGAAACAAAGAAGUUGCUGGCACAAUAAUAAGUUUUUUUAGUGAGGUAUUUUUGGGAAGAAGUUGUUACCGCUGUGAGGAGCACGCAGCAAGGACUUCCACGAGAAAAAGACAUCCAUGAUUAAUGGAGAGUAAAUGUUUUACUCGUGAUAUCUUAGUCAUGUAUAAGGUAGAUGUAAUUUAUAUUUUGUUUUUUAAUGGUAUCUAAUAAACUAUUUUGGCAGCCGAGAAUUAGUGAUUGGAUUUGAAAGAAUCGAUCAAUACCUCAUUAAAUCCCAUGUCAACUAAUUUUUCUUUACAUAUAUUAUUGCUUCCGCAUAUAAAUUUUGAUAUUCUAGUCUCUUAGAAAUUUAACAAUUUUUUUUUAAAAAAAAUUUAACAAUUUAAUAUUAAACCGCAUAUUAAACCAAAUUAUAACGUAACUAACUAGAACCUAAAGCUGUUAAAAUCGAAUUUGGGUGAAAAUAACAAAUCAGAAUUUGCAUUCUCUUAAACUAUAAGAGAAGUAGAGAACGUAGACGUUGCUAAAAGGUUGUUUAAAGUUUUCAAAAGCGAGAGGUCAAAUAUUUAGAUCCUCGCUAGCUUGCAAUCGUAAACCCAAAAGUCUUCUCUUCAUUUUGUUUCCAAGUGUCAAUAGCUAAAUAGCUAAAUUGGUAAAAAAAAUUCAAGCAAAGUCUAGAGAUCGUUGGUUUGAAUGACACUUAGAAAAAAACCUUAUAAUGCUUCUUGAACUGAAUAGAUAUUCUUAACCUAGACCCAAAAUCUCUUACUCAUUAAAAAAAUAAAAUAAACCCUUAUAUAUAAUCUCUCUUCAAAUAGAUUUCUAAAAUUUAAUAUUAUUUCAGUUUACUAUUAGUUUCAGUUUAAUAUAAUUAGUUUUAGAAUUACUUUGACACUCCCUCAUCAUAACUCCUCCACAAAGCACUCAAUAUCAUGUAUGAUAGAUAUUGUAAUUAAACAUUAUUCCAGUAUAUGUCAAGAGCCAGACAAUGGAUCAUAUUAUACGUACACCUUAACUUAUAAGUUUCUUAUGCUACUCCAAACUCUAUUACUCUACCUUCAUUUGUUAUAAAUAGUAGUUUUACUAAAGUACUCUCUUGAGGUCUUUGGGAGCUCACUUUAAGAAUUCUCUUCACCUCGGGUGAUUCAUAAGUUAUAGUGUGUCCAUCCACAGUGUAGGAGAGAUGAUAUGAGAACUGUCCUACUUCAGGAGCAGAUGGUGCAAUGCAGCUUACGGUUACAUACACACCACACGGCUCCCUAAAACAUUGCACUGCAAACAAGAGUCUCUUUGUGUAUUCCUUUCUAAUUAUUAUAUUCUUAUCGCUGCCGAUGUUCAUCCGGACACUAAAGGGAAUGUCACAAAUGUACUUAUUAAGCUGGUCUACUUCCAUGUGGGUUGUACGAUAGUGAGUGUAGAGAUCCUUGUAUGAGCUAGUGUAAUUGCAAUUCAAUGCAGGGCAAUAGCAUUGAGAGAAGAUGCAUUCCUUUUCAUGAGUUGAUUCUUUCCCAUAAGAUAUACUUUUGGUGCAUCCAAAGUUGGCGUUUGGGCAUGGGAUAAAGAUUGAUUCAAGAACACUCUCCAUUGCUCUGCAACGUUUGUUGCCAACAUGCAAAGUACAUGUAGGGCACUUAUUACUCAGUUUGGGACAGCAAGAAGAGCAAGCCAAAUGCCCAUUAUCACACUGAAAAGCAAAACCAAUGAAAUAAAAAUCAAAUCAAUAUUCAAGAAAACCUAACAACGCAUUAUCCACUUGACUUUACAUCAGGUAACCAUCAAAGGAACAAGAGCAUGCUAAAUAAAGUCUCGGCCUUAACAUAUUCGAAAGUCGAUCGAACCUAACCUGGAAGAUAGGAAUAGUGAGUGGCUCGAAGCAAACAGGACAAUCGAGAACAUCAAAAUCCAACAUCGCCGGACGUGUUUUAUCCUCUGUUCGUUGCUUCUUUUGCAAGUUAAUGUUGCUCGAACCUUUAACACCGCUUGAGGAACCCUCCAUAUCGAAAUGCUUUACUUAAGAUGAAAAUGGAACUGAAACAGUUUUAACUUUACAUUUACGUACACAUAUGAAUAAGAGAAAUCAAACUUUUUUUUUUGAGAAAGAUGAAAAGAAAGCAGUAGAGAUGAGUUUUACCCUCACUUCUCAGGCUCCAAAGACUUUGGAAGUAAAAGCUGCAUGCAGCUUACCGUUACAUACACACCGUCCCGCUCCUUAAAACACUGUACCGCAAACAAUAGUCCCUUGUUAUACUCAUAUUUAAUUAAUAUCUUAUCGCUGAUGUUCAUCUUGGCGCUAAAGUAAAUGCCACAACUAAACCUAUUACGCAUGUAUUCUUGCCCGUAGCUUUGAAGGUGGUGGAUAUAAGACUUAUAGUGACCGUAGAGAUCCUUGUAUAAGCUAGUGAAGUUACAUCCUUUUUUUUUUUUUGCUAAGAAGGUAAAUAUUUCAUAGAAAAUGAAAACAGUUUAGGUUUACAAUCAAAGAUUAUAGACCUAUACAAAUGGUCCCAUGGCAAAAAAAUUAAAACAUGGAAGCAUAAUUUGGAAGCCAAAGAACUCGGUCCAUCCACUCAACCAAAGCAACGAGGCUAAGGGAGUUAGACGAAGCGAUGACGAUUUUAUUGUUCUUCCCGGAUUAGUUGCUGAAGAAGAAGGGCGACUGCAAAUUGUAAACACCUAGAUUCACAGGACGCUUAGCUUCAGAAGCCUUUCAAAGGAGGUCCGAGACCGAGCCGUCAACGGCAUAGAACUCAAAGCCCUCGAUCACAUACUCCUCCCGUCAUGUGAGACCGGUUCUGCGAACAUAUCCAAUGAGCUUUCCCUGAACGGAACCUCACAAGCCAAAAUAUGCGAAACGGUACGAGCUCCCUCUACCAAGUUCAUUCCCCGAAGUCAGCUAGCACAGAGCAAGAUAACACAAAGCACAACCACACCGAAUCGCCAAAAGCCUUACUAGCUCCUCUAAAGCACAAAGCAAAACGCAAAAAGGCGAGUACUCAAAGCAAAGCCUACUUCGACUCAAAACAACAACACUAGCAAGACACAAACAAAACCUGGGUUUGAGCAAAAUCAACAAGUCAAGAUAUACAAGUGACGUUAUCAAUUGGAGAUGAUCAACAAGUCACCACCGACGACUAAGUCAUCAACAAAUCAAACAUCACAGCAGCCACCUGAAGGCACAAAAAGAGCAUUCGAGACGGUGAACAAACCAGACGUGCCACGUCAGAACAUCCUCCUAAUAGUCCUGCCACUGUCCUCAAGCAGAAGUUGCCGACAGAGAAAUGUUCAUCAAAUCGCCUAGUCUCGCAUACAAACUAUAACAUAUAUGAUAUUACAAGAUUUAAUCAUGGACACAAAUUCUAACACUCCCUCUUGAGUCCAUUGAUUAAAUCCCCAAUUUCAAUCUAGGGAUUUCAUCAUUUAUCCCAUCGAUUCUUCUUCACAUUGGUGAUUUACCUCUUCUCUAGGUUGAAUCCCUUUGACGACAUUGGUAAGCUUCCCUUCUCUAUCUCCCUCUAGACCUUCUUUACUUCUUCUUCACUGGCAAGUAAAGCACUUGUGUCCGACUUUCUCCAUCUCAAUGGAAAACUCUUCUGCUUCAUCUUAAUAUCCAAUAUCCUUCUUCCUUGAGGAUUAUUGAUGAUACAUUUAUUGUCUUCAAAUAAGACUCCGUGUCCAUUGGAUAUCAUUUGAGAAACACUCAACUCGCUAAACCCGGCACUAGAAAUACCUCUUUGAUGAUAUUCUCUCCUUGGCUUGUCAUCACUUGGAUAUUUCCUUUUCCUGCCGUCAUUACAUGUUGACCAUUCCCCAGAAAGUCUUCUCCAAGUCACUUUCAAGUUUACCCGUGAUCUCUCUCACGUUUUUCUUGAAGUCUCCAUGAACUUUCCUCACGUCUUCUCCGUGAUCUUUUAUCAUGUUUUCGUCGGCUGUUCUUGCAACCUUCUUCCACUCCCUUUCUCUUAAGUGAGCUUUCUUCUCUUUCCCUUUUGGUGUCCUCUUGAUGAUCACCAAAUAUGUGAUCCUUUGAUCAUCAUCACGUCUCUGUGACGUCUUGUACGUGAAUCUUCUCCACGUCUUCUUCGGUUGUCUAUACAACCAGCCAAUGCUUCCUUUCACUCUUAGGUAAGCAUCUCAACUUUUUGCUUGGUGUCUUCCUUUGAUCACCAUCACGUCUCUGUGACGUCUUGUGCGUGAACAUCUUCACGUCUUCUUCGGUUAUCUUUGCAACCGGCCUCUGCUCCCUUUCUCUUAGGUAAGCAGCCUUAACACCCGUAGGCAAGCUAACAUCGUUGUGUUGCUUUCUCCAACAAUCACUCCCAUUGUGAUUGUCACACGUACAAAAGUCACACCAUUUCUCGGCUCUAUUUUGACUUUUGUCGCUACGUUUGUUUCUUACUUUUUAAAACAAACUUUCUCCACGUCUCGUUGACGACAUCGGUUCCCUUGAACCUUUUUGUGGAGUAGCCUUGCACUGUUCUCCCAACAGAAGCUUACUCCGUGUUGCAGUGUUCUUCACAACUCAACAACACCUUUUGAUACUAAGCCUUGCCCUGUUUCUUACAACAGGCGGCUUCCCCGUGUGAACAUCAUUCUCAACGACUCCACACCACUUUUUGCUAACAAGCCUUGCUCUGUUUCUUAAAACAGGUAGCUUCCUCCGUGAGAUUGUGUUUUUUACACCUCACACCACUUUUAUUGAUUUUCUGGUUUAAAACCAGAAUCCCUUCUUCUUGGUCGAGCACCGAACACACCUUCAUACGUGUUCUAAUUCUGUGAAAAGACAUGAUCUUCAUGUGCUGCACAGUGUCCUUAAUUCCUCCAUUGACGCUUCCUUCCUUUGAUUUCUUAAUUGCACCCCUUCGGAUGUCUCUUCGGAUUGCGUCAGUUUGUUAGGAACACCUUUCACCACCAGCCACAGUUAUGUCGAUAGUAAGAUGGUCUUCAUCUUGUUACACACCAGAUUCCAUCGUUUCUCCAUCAAACAUGUGAAUCACUUGCUGCAACGUCUUGCCAUGAUCUCUGUUUUGACUUGAACCUUUUUGCAGAUUCUUUUUAUGCUUCUCUUAAUGCUUCGAUUGGUCCUUGAAUCAUUAAAGCUCUGAUACCAUGUUGGUGUUUUUGCUCUUGUAUAAUUGUAGAAGCCAUUGCUUCAAAUACAGAGCAUGGUAGAGAAAACAAAGAAUUGAAAAGUGGAAAAACUUCUCAAUUAUUCUCGACAGUUUUUACAUAAGACAACAUACACACUUAUAUAGAUGUGUACAUAACUAACUACUCUAAGUAACCGUUGGUAAGAGUUGUAACUUUUCACACAAGUUACGUGUCUUACUCACACCCUUUCGUAGUAAGUAACACGUAGCACAUGACAUCCGUUGACUUCACAUACAAACUAUAACAUAUAUGAUAUUACAAGAUUUAAUCAUGGACACAAAUUCUAACAAGACUUGGCCGAGAAUCUCAAGCACCGGAGUGGAGCAACGAUAAAAGAAAAGAGGGGUGACCGGUGUGAUGCUAAAGAAGCCACCAACCACCAGUCACCGGAGAAGACGCUCGAGGUUGCGGCAAGGGCGAGAAAAAAAUUUGAGAGAAAAACAAUUUCAGGCGCGUGGGGUUUUAAGUUACAUCCUUGUGCGGGGCAUGUGCAUCGAGAGAAGAUGCAUUCCGGGUCAUGGGAUGAUUGUUUCCCAUAAGAGACAUUCUUGGUGCAACCUAACUCUGCGUUUUGGCAUGGGACGAAAACUGACUCAAGUACACUCUCCAUUGCUCUACCGCGAUUUGUGGCCAAUAGGUAAAGAACAUGAAGGGCACUUAUUACUCAGUUUGGGACAGCAAGAAAGAGCAAGCUAAAUGUCCAUUACCACACUGAAAUACAAAACCAAUAAAUUACAAUCAAAGCUUUAUUCAAGAAACGAAACCUAUAGCAACAACAAUCACAAGAACAAAUAUAUGAUAGAAAUUUAGAAAAAAAAAAAAAAAAAAAAAAUGAUAGAAAUUUAGCUGAAAAUAAGAUCUCAUGAACAGACUAGCUAGUGUUGCACAAAAAAAAAAAAAAAAAAAAAAGAAAAGACUAGCUAGUGAUCAUGACUACAAUUCCAAAAACCAUCUUCUUAAUUAAUGCAACGAUUGACCAAAAAAAUACAAAAUUAUAUGAAUCUAUAAUUAUGCAAUAUUUGAAAAGCAACCUCGAAGAUUGGAAUAGUGAGUGGCUCGAAGCAAAUAUGGCAGUGGAGAACUUCCAAAUCCAGCAUUGCCCAGCUUGUCUUAUUCUCUAGUCGUUUCAAGUGAAUAUUGCUCAAACCAUUGACGUCGCUUGAGGCACACUCCAUAACGACAAGCUGAAAAUGGAACUGAAUCAAGUUUACUAGUUUUGGUUGAAUUAGAACCAAUUUGUAGCGAUUUAUAAAUAUACUAACUUUAAAAGUAAGUAUCGAAAUUGGUGAUUUAGAAUAUACCUGGAAAUAUAUACUGCUGCCAAAUCGUUAAUCAAACUAGAUUUGGACACGAGAUGUUAGUGCUGCGAACGACUUCGUCCUUUUGACUCCUUUCUAGGUUUAGAUUUACUCGGUAAGAAGAAAGAUUUCUUAGGUUUUUUCUGAUUUUGACUCGGAAAUAUUCAAUCGGAUCUUUCCUUUAAGUUUUUAGCAAAACCAAAAAUAUUUUGCAAAUAUAAUGAUUUAUUGCUAAUAUAACAAAUUUGAGCUAAUUUCUUAAAACUUCUCUACCUAAUUUAAACAUAUAUAUAUAUAUAUAUAUAUAUAUAUAUAUAUAUAUUCUCAUUUCACUUUUAUUUGAUCUUAUUUUUAUAUUAUUUUGAAUUAUCAUAAAAGAUAUAUAGUUAAUAAAAUUUUAAUUUUUUUUUGCAUAUGAUGUGAUUCAAAAUUUUAAAACAGGCAUAUAUUACUCAAUCGAUAAAAAAAAAGUAUGUGUACAAUCUAAAAUAGAACCAAACAAUAAAUCAUUUAAAGUUUUUUAUCGAUGUUUUUUGCUCAUUUACUGCGGGUCAGGGUUUUUGUUUGAGCUGGAUUUUGACUCGGAUUUGAGUCAUUCGGAUCUUUUGUUAUUUGAGACUUUCUAAAAAAAAUCCGGAAUUAGAGUUAGUCGGAUCUUUCUUUAUUUGAAACAUUUUUAUAAAAUCCAAACAAAAUUAAAUGAUUGAUUUUGGAAAUAUAUCAAUCGUAUAUGUAGUUAUAACAAACAAAUAUUUGCUAAUCAAAUGAUUUCCUAUUUUAAUGCUAAGGAUUUUGCAUUUAGUAUUUUUUUCAUAAAUAAAAUGAACUACAUAAAUUUGUUUUUCAAUCCAACUAAACGAAUUAGAAAUGUCUCAUAACUAAAACAAUUUCUACUUUCUCACCAAGAUUUUUGGAACUGAUUCUUUAACAAAUUUAAUUAUCAUUUAUUAAGUUUUCUAAUUCUAGCCAAUUAUAAUUAAUCCAUGAAAUCUUGCUUCUUCACAAAGAUUUUUGGAAUCGUGAAUCACAUCUAACCCUAAUCGUAUAUGUUCUCUAUAUAUAUCCAUUUCAUUGCUAAGAGUAAACAUCACUUCUUAACAUAAAAAGUUGAUAAAAAAAUGGCUGCCAUUUUACUUACCUUUGUGACUUGAGACCUUACAAAAACUAAUCUUUUUGUGUGGUUUAAAAGGUAUGGGAGUGAGCACAUCAACGUUGCCUUGGUACACUCAUCCUCUUAUUUUUCUGUUGUUUUUUUAAGAAAUUAAUCAUAUAUUAAUUAUCAUUUUGUGUGGUUUAUAAUGAUGUACUAGAUAAAUUACCCGCACUAUGUGCGGGAUGAAAUGGCAAUUAAAUAAGUGCAUUGUAGUCUUAGUUACAAAAAUUAUUGUAUUAUUAUCCAGAAUCCAAAAUCUGGUAGUGUAUUAUGAAACAUGUUUAAAAAAACGUUUCAUAUUCCAAUAAUCGAUUUUUCGUAUCGGAAUUCGUUUUACCCGUAAAAUAAUUAAAGACGCCAAUUUCUUUUCUAACGUAACUUAAAUAACAAACACAUAUACAUCUUUGUAAAAGAGUUGAUGAAUAUUUAAAAAAUUUAGAUUGCUCAAAAACUAAGAAGAUGUGUGUUUGGUAAAUUUGAGAGGAUGAAGAUGAUAUCAGGAAAUAUAUUUAUAGAGAAAUAUUUUUGUAGGGUUCCAUUUAAUUUUUGAAAUUUGGAUUGCCUUCAAAAUUUGAAAAAUUAAUUUAUUGUUGAUUUUAUGAUAGAUUUAGUUUUGAGAAUUAAUUUUAUAAAUGUAGUUUGGAUUUAUGAACCUAGGAAAAUUUGUACUUACAAAAGUUAUAAAAAUAUAUUCUAAUUUAUUAAUUUACAUGAAUUAUACGCUUAUAUGUUUGAAUUGUUAAAUAUAUAUAUAUAUAUAUAUAUAUAUAUAUGUGUGUGUGUUAGUCUGGAUUUAAAAAUAUAGACCUUAGAUCAAUUUAAUAUAUAUAUACAUAUACACGAAUCCUUUAUGUAUAGAUAGAGAUAUGAUGUUUGUAUUACUGAUGUUUAAUGUUAAUUAACGAAAUAAUUAGAAUUCAUGGCACAUUUGUAACUAAUCUAGUAAUAUAUAGACCAUUAGUUUGCUCGAUUUAUGAAAUAAAAAUGUCUGUUUGAUUUUAAGUUUAAGCUUGGACGUAGCAUGUCUCACAUGUUAAUAUUAGAUAAUACAUAUUUGUUAUUUGUUAUGCAUAUAUAGAAAAAUGUAACAUUUUGUUAUGUGUUUGCUAAUAUAGAAAUAAUAAAGUUUGUCCCGUAUAGAUUGUGUGUUUUUUUUAAAUUUUUUAAGUUUUGUAUCGAUUGUUUUAAUAUAAUUUCAGGUUUAGUAAAUAUUUUAGUAGCUAUAUAUUGACAUAUAGUAAUACAAAAGUACUAUAAUCAUUUAUUUUUUUAUUCUUUUUAACAUAAUUAUUUUUUCUUUAUAUUCUUAGAAUCAUUUAUGUUGUUUACAAAUUUGUUUUAAUAAGAAAAGAAAUUCUUUAGGACAAAGUUGGUAUAAUAUUAGAAAUCUGAUGUAUUAUAGUGUUUCCAUCACUAAAUAUUUUUCAAUUACUUUUGAGAAAAAUUUAUAUUUCAAAUACACCAUUAAGAAAACUAUAAUGUAAAUCUAAAAUAUAUGAUUAACAAUUAUCAUUAAUUUUUUAUAUUAUAAAUUAUUAUUUUUUCUACUUAUUUUAGUUAAUUACCUUCUAUUGAUACUAAUAUAGUCUUUGAAGGCACAUCAUAUAAAACACAUAAUUUCUUCGAACAAUUUUAUAUUGUUUUUAUACUGUUUAUUAGUAUCUUUUAAUAUGUGUUUCUUACUUAUUUUAUAAAAACAGUAUAAAAUAUGUAAGAUCUUUAAGUUGUUCGAACAACUUAAAAUUUUAAAAAAAUUUAUAAAAUAAUUUCUUCGAACAACUUUUAACUGUUUUAUUCUGUUUAUUAGUAUCUUUUUAAUUUCUUCGAGAACCUCCUCCACACAUAUUAGUUAAAGUCUUACAUAUUUUAUACUUUUUUUGUUUUUCUUAGCCUACUACCUCUUGAUUGAUUAAUACAUUAUUUUGACAAAAUAUUUGAAAUUAAACAACCAAAAUAUGUACACGUUAGGGCAUACUUGUGUUCGCUCUUAUCUAUUAGUAUUUUUUUGUUAUUAAUCAAACAGAUUUAGAGUCAUAUAUUUUAACAUUUUUGCAUUUAUUUUAAAUAUUUUGAAGAAAAUCAUAUACUACUAAUGAUAGUUUCUAAAAUAUUAUCUUUCAUUUAUUUUGUUAUUGCAAAAUAAAACUUUGUUUAAUUUAUUUUUAUUACACUAUCUUAAACAAUAAUUCAAUAUAUUAUGUUUUCUAACAAAAAUCUUUUGUUUAGGUGGCACACAGUGAUAAAAUGUUGUAUAUUUUUGUUCGAAAAACUUUAAGAAAACUUUAAGAACUUAGCUUUUCCUAGCGCUACCAACUUAGAAAACAAAUUUGUAAGAAUUUAUAAUACAUCAUCAACGUUCUUUUCACAUCUUUUUAUUUUAUUUCUUAUUACAUUAUCUUACACAAUUAAAAUAUUUUCAAUAUUUUUUCUAACAUUUAGUUGGCACAAAUUGAUAAGUUGUUCAUUCUUUUGUUUGAACAGCUUUAAGAACUUAGCUUUCGAGACCUCCUCCAACCUCUCCCAACUUGGAAAUCAAAUUUAUAAUCGACAUGCUUUUUCACAUCUUUUUUCUUUUAUUUUUAUUACAUUAUCUUACGUAAAAAAAAAUCAGAUAUGUUUUCUAACAAAAAUAUUUUGUUUGUGUAAAACAAAGUGAUAAGAUGUUCUUUCUUUUGUUCGAACAACUUUAAGAAAUUAGAUUUCCCUAGCUCUCCUAACUUGAAAAACAAAUAUGUAAGAUCUUUAACUACAACCAUUGACAUGCUUAUUUUACAUCAUAAAAAAAUCGUUGUUAUAUAUAGUUGUAACAUGUUAGUUAAAAAUCAACAGAUUUUAUCACUGUUAAGAUAAGAAAUAUUAUUUUUUGUUUGUUUCAAUAAAGUAUUAUUAUCAUAAACCUAGACAUUGCAUAUACAAUUUUACUAGUAUUUUUUUUUUCCUAUUUUACCGAUUAAUUAACUCAAACAUUUUUACUCAUUUUUAGUAAUUUAAUAUCCGAAUAUCAAACUUAAAACAUAAAAAUCAAUCGAUAUUUAAAUAAAAUGAAAAAAUUGAAUAGACGUAAACAUGUUAGGUACCUCUUGAUUAAAUACUUUUUUUGAACUUUUCACCUAUCUUUUGAUUGAUUAACCUAUUCAAAUUUAAUGAGACUAAUAGUAUUUUUUAAAUCUGAAUAUCCUAGCCAUGUACAGUUUUCUUCAUUUAUUAGCCGAUCCUUGUAGUGUCUCAGGCAUUGCGAAACUGGAACAUGUGAAGAGACUGGAGAUCAAAUUCUGUGUCAGAAUGUUUAGAGAGACUCUGCACUUGAGUUUGAAAAUUGGAAGGGAUUUUGUCCGGUUGUUGCAGGACCUAGUUUACGUCUCUGAAUUUGAAGACAUAUGGAACGAUAAGGCCUCAAACCAUUACUCUGACACUUCGCAGUUUUAUCGGUUAAAGACUUCAAGUAGGUACGUCCUUCUCUGGAUCACUCCUGAGAUGUGAGAUUGGGAAGCCAGAAACGGCAUUAGAUAUGGUUCUUGACGAAAUUUCUAUCUGGUCUUGAAAAACAAACACUUUUGAUCGACAUAGUCCUAUUCAUUUGCUGUGUAGUUCACCGAACUAACGAAAUCAUCCGAUAAGAGAUCAUGCCAAGAUGGGUAACUAUAGCCUAUAGGUAGGUUUCUGGAACUGUGUAGGCAAAAUCAUCACACCGAACAAAGUGCUAAGCUCGCUCUGUUUUAUGAUUGGCUCUUCUUCGAUGACAGAAUCAACAAUAUUAUUAUGAAUGUUGAUCAUGCUGCUCUCUUGAUGGUACGGUCAACCGCAGUAUCGGUCUGCUAUGUUUUAGGUUACUAAUCUAAAACUUAACUCAUCUUAAAAUAAUAGAAAAAGCCAACCAAAAUCUAACUUAUCUUAAUAGUUGAUCACGCAUUAACUGUAGCAGACGACUCUUCCUAGCGGACACAACAUUUGACACAUAGUUCGGCGCAGAAGCAAAGCAUCAUAAUAGCCGAGAUGGAGUUCAGAAGAACAAUCACGAAGGUUAAAGGGUAACUAUACUAACUAAUAUGCAUGUUGCUCUUUGACUUUACCACACCAAUAUUUCUUCUUUUUUAACUUUGUUUUGUGUCUUUUUCUUAUUCUUUUCCGUUAGAGAUUAUGCUUAUAUACACGUAUUCUCAUCACAAAAUUAACAUUUUUGGAAAAUAAAUCGGCAAGAUGUGUAUAAUCUAUUUUAACAUUUUAUGCGUUUCUUUCUUUUUACAAAUAUUUAUUGUAACAAAAACUUCUCUUAUAUUUAAGAUUCCUAUAUUUUCGAUUUCCUUUUCACAAGUAUGUCAAUAUAGAAAAUAUGAGAAUUUGAAAAUGUCAAUUGAGGUGAUGGCUAAAAAUGUUAAUUAGCGAUUAAAAAUGUUAUAGAAAAUAUUUAUAAUUAUAAAUGUUAUUUAAUCUGAAUUAAAAAUAUUAAUUAUUCCAUAUGUUGCUUUUUUCCUUUUUAACAAAACUUUUAAUAUAGAAAAUUGUCAUCAUUUUUGAAAAAGUUAAAAUUCUUUUUUAACCACAUCAUUGGUUUUUAUUUUCCUUUUUAGUUAAAUUUUAAUAUAGACAAUUUCAAAAAUCUAAAUAUGCUAAAUAAUGACAUGUCUAAUUAAGAUUGGUUGUUUAAAAUCCUAGGUGGACAGCCUGAGAAGCUUAUGGCUUCGACUUUUAUAUAGUAUAGACUAGGUUUUGGACCCACGCUACGCGUGGGUUUAUUUGUUAUAUUUUGGUGAAAAUUAUAUAUGAUUGAUGAUAAUUUUUAAAUUACUAUUAAAGCAAAAUUUUCAGUUCAAAUGCACAAUUAUAAAAAUCAAUAGUGUUUAAGAAUAAAAUCUUAUCAAAAGAAUCAUGAAUCAAUCUUAUUUUCUCAUAUUCAAUUGGCCGCCAACACCUAUGUCUUCGUUUUCUCUUCACAUUCAUCGUUUCUUACUCUUCAUAUUCAUUCUCGUCAUCUACAUUGUCAAUUUUUCAUGGCCGUCGUCACCGUUACUUUCCGCUUCUUCGUUAUACUCUUCCUCUUCCUCUUCCUCACUUUCUUCCUCAUCCUCUCUAUCUUCUUCUAUGUAAAACAUUUAUUAUUAUGUGGUCAAAAAUAAAGCAACAAAUUUAAACUUAUAACAUUAACCAAACAUAGAUCCAUAAGCCUAUGAAUUAACUACCCGAAACAACGUCGUUCAUUUGACCUUCUGAACUCGAAAUUUGACGCCUAUCUACCAAAAGUUCAUUCCACGUCUCCAGAAUACUCUUACCAAAUUUCAGAUUAUUCCGAGUACGUUUGGAUAUUCAUGUCUCCACUUUGCUUGUUAGAUCUGAAACUUUAGAAGAAAUCUUCUCGAACAAGUUGAAGAAGCUUUCUUCUAAAAAUCCGUUUAAAUCUAUAUCCUACCAUUAAACCUCAAGACAAUAAUACCAGAAACCUCACCAUCAAGUUUUAGCUACAUAUGAACCAAACGUUACAAUAAAAAGGUCAUGUUAUAACUGUUUUCUCACUUUUCUUUUCCAUGAAUGAUAAUCCAAGUUUAUCUUAUGAUAUCACAAUCGAACAUCUUCUCACGACAAUGGCUUUCUCUCUAUCUAUCUCUCUCUCUCUCUCUCGCUGGUCGCCAAUCUAUCCGCGUUUCUCUCUUUCUCCUUCAUUUUUUACAUGGAAUACAACCAUCUUUGCUACCUAGAUUAUGACGUCAAUUAUUUAUAACGCAAGAAAACUCUUAUCAAUUAAAUGUAUUACUUUUCUUACGUCUCUUCAAUUCCCUUUUUUGAUUGAAAUUGGUACUCCAAUAAUAACAACUUUUUCUACAAUUUCAACACAAGUCUUUAUACCUUUUUGCCUGGUUAGAUAUCAUCUAACUAAAGUAUAUAAAACCUAAGUUAAAAAAAAAAACAGAAUCACAUAAGAAGUUACCUUAUUAGCCAUAGUUGUAUCCACAUUUUAACGUAAAACAAUUUUUCCUAUAUUGGCCUAGAGAUCUUUUCCAAGAGAGAUUUCUUGCAUGGUCUUACAUGUAUGUUCCUCAACUUCCACCACCACCACCACUUCCUUAGAUUUAUUAGCAUGUGGCACUUUUUGGGCACAAGCAAUUGAUGCUGAAUUCGUUAGAACCACUAAAUAAGCUUUCAAAAGAAUUUACCUUAGAGUAACACAACUUGUUUCCCAACGAACCUCCUUUAACCUCCAAGACCAGAAUAAUUGCCUAUUUUCUCAUAACAUUUGUGUUAUUCAAGACCAGCAUAGCCACCACAUGUACUAAAUUAUUGAUACUUUCACACAUAUAUAUACUCGAUUUAAGAUCCACACAUUUUGAAACUUUUCAAACCAAAAUCCUUAAUGCUACAAAAUUGUAAAUUACUUGCGGAGGAAGCAACAUGAACAUGAUCCCAUAUAUAACUAAUAAAACAUAUGUGCUUGUUGUUGAUCCUUCUUCUGUAAAAGCAAAAAAUUAACUCAAAUAAUCAAAUCAAGGUCUUACGAUUCAUAACCGAUAUGAAAGAGUACAAACAUCGACCAAUGAUGCUUGUCAUCGAUCCUUCUUGUUCUUGAAACCCAAAAGUUUUACGCAAACAACAUCAAAUCAUAUAUAACAUCAUACACAAACACAUGUUUUAGGGUUUAUCGGAAAUAUAAAACAGAAACAGCCCGACAAAGAGAGAGAAGUGCCAGUAGUGGCAAAAGCGAUGAAAAAUAUAAAAAGAAGCGCCAUUAAAAGUAGUAAUCAACCCUAAUUGUUACUAACAGCUUGAAAUUUAUAGCUUAAAAAUUAUAAUCAAAUCAGAUGCCUCCAGUUAUUAUUUAUAUUGAAAAGAUCUAGAGUUAAUCGAAUAUGUUUUUUUUUGUUAAUAUUCUAUUUUUUGUUGGAAAAUUAGAAGAUUAACAAAAUAAGAAUAUAAGUUUAACGUAUUUCAUAUAUUGUUUUUCAAAAAUUUACGUUUGUUUUCUUGUAUAUAUUGCUUUUCUUAUUUCCAUAUGUUGUUUUUCAAAAGUUUACAUUUCUAUUCUUUACAUAUAUUUCUUUAUAAAUUUAAUUAUCUUUAAAAAUUUAAACUUGACAUUUUGAUUAUAAUUAGAAAUAUUUCUAUAAAAAUUUAAACUUGACAUUUUGAUUAUAAUUAGAAAUAUUUCUAUCUUUUCAAAUAACACAAGAUUAAUAUAAUUAGAAAUAUUUCUAUAUUUUCAAAUAUUUCUCUUACUGUUUUUCUUUUCUUUUUAGACAAAACUUUAAUAUAGAAAAUUAUCAUAAUCAAAAUAUGUUAAUCAGCGAGAUGUCUAACCGAGAUUGAUCGUUUAAAAUCAUAUGUGGACGCCUUUAAGAGCUUAUAGCCUUGACUUUUAUAUAGUAUAGACUAGAAAUUUGUUUUUGAUAAGUGGGAUAUAUGGAUGUAUGAGACUUAGACAUGUCAAUUAGGGCCGAAGCCCGCGGGCUAGCCCGGCCCAGCCCUGAAAAAUAGCGGGCCCGGACUUAAAAAUAUAUGUCCAGAAAAGAAUCGGGCAUUUCGGGCUAAAUCCGUUGGGCUAAAGGGUUUUUAGGGCUUAGCCCGGCCGGGCUCGGACCGGCCCGCCCCGAAGCCCGCAAAACCCGCAUAUGUUUGAGCCCGGCCCAGCCCGGCCCGGCCCGGCCCGUAAAAAUUUUGAGCCUAGAUUUUGAAGCCCGGCUUGGCCCUAACAGGGCUUUUACGGGCUUUUUUGGGCUUUUCUUUCGAGAAAAAUAAACCCUUCUAAUUUAUAAUAUCUCUUAAAAAAAAAAACCAAGUAUAAAACGAGUCAAACAAAACUUAAAUAACCCACUAAAGUGAAUCUAGUUUUAAAAAAAUUUAAAAUCAAAUAAAUAAUCCAAAUAAAUUGUUUAAACCCACACUAAAUAAAAUAUAAAAUCAUAACACUUAUAGUAAGACACAAUUAGAAAACUAGGUUUAGGGUUUUUAAUUCUAUUAAAAAAAAUCUUUAAACAAAUCUCUUAAUUAAACAAUAAUAUUUACAAAAAAAAUAGUUAAAAUCUCUUUUUAAGGGCUUUUCGGGCCGAUCCGAGCCCGGCCGGGCUAAGCCCUAAAAACAGACAUUUUUUAUUUCAUAAAUCGAGCAAACUAAUGGUCUAUAUAUUACUAGAUUGGUUACAAAUGUGCCAUGAUAUUCUAAUUAUUUCGUUAAUUAACAUUAAACAUCAGUAAUACAAACAUCAUAUCUCUAUCUAUACAUAAAGGAUUCGUGUAUAUGUAUAUAUAUAUUAAAUUGAUCUAAGGUCUAUAUUUUUAAAUCCAGACUAACACACACACACACACACAUAUAUAUAUAUAUAUAUUUAACAAUUCAAACAUAUAAGUUUAUAAUUCAUGUAAAUUAAUAAAUUAGAAUAUAUUUUUAUAACUUUUGUAAGUACAAAUUUUCCUAGGUUCAUAAAUCCAAACUACAUUUAUAAAAUUAAUUCUCAAAACUAAAUCUAUCAUAAAAUCAACAAUAAAUUAAUUUUUCAAAUUUUGAAGGCAAUCCAAAUUUCAAAAAUUUAAUGGAACCCUACAAAAAUAUUUCUCUAUAAAUAUUAUGAAUCUAUAAUUAUGCAAUAUUUGAAAAGCAACCUCGAAGAUUGGAAUAGUGAGUGGCUCGAAGCAAAUAGGGCAGUGGAGAACUUCCAAAUCCAGCAUUGCCCAGCUUGUCAAACCAUUGACGUCGCUUGAGGCACACUCCAUAACGACAAGCUGAAAAUGGAACUGAAUCAAGUUUACUAGUUUUGGUUGAACUAGAACCAAUUUGUAGCGAUUUAUAAAUAUACUAACUUCAAAAUUAAGUAUCGAAAUUGGUGAUUUAGAAUAUACCUGGAAAUAUAUACUGCUGCAAAAUCGUUAAUCAAACUAGAUUUGGACACGAGAUGUUAGUGCUGCGAACGACUUCGUCCUUUUGACUCCUUUCUAGGUUUAGAUUUACUCGGUAAGAAGAAAGAUUUCUUAGGUUUUUUCUGAUUUUGACUUCGGAAAUCUUCAAUCGGAUCUUUCCUUUAAGUUUUUAGCAAAACCAAAAAUAUUUUGCAAAUAUAAUGAUUUAUUGCUAAUAUAACAAAUUUAAGCUAAUUUCUUAAAACUUCUCUACCUAAUUUAAACAUAUAUAUAUAUAUAUAUAUAUAUAUAUAUAUAUAUAUAUAUAUAUAUAUAUUCUCAUUUCACUUUUAUUUGAUCUUAUUUUUAUAUUAUUUUGAAUUAUCAUAAAAGAUAUAUAGUUAAUAAAAUUUUAAUUUUUUUUUGCAUAUGAUGUGAUUCAAAAUUUUAAAACAGGCAUAUAUUACUCAAUCGAUAAAAAAAAAGUAUGUGUACAAUCUAAAAUAGAACCAAACAAUAAAUCAUUUAAAGUUUUUUAUCGAUGUUUUUUGCUCAUUUACUGCGGGUCAGGGUUUUUGUUUGAGCUGGAUUUUGACUCGGAUUUGAGUCAUUCGGAUCCUUUGUUAUUUGAGACUUUCUAAAAAAAAUCCGGAAUUAGAGUUAGUCGGAUCUUUCUUUAUUUGAAACAUUUUUAUAAAAUCCAAACAAAAUUAAAUGAUUGAUUUUGGAAAUAUAUCAAUCGUAUAUGUAGUUAUAACAAACAAAUAUUUGCUAAUCAAAUGAUUUCCUAUUUUAAUGCUAAGGAUUUUAUUGCAUUUAAUAUUUUUUUCAUAAAUAAAAUGAACUACAUAAAUUUGUUUUUAAAUCCAACUAAACGAAUUAGAAAUGUCUCAUAACUAAAACAAUUUCUACUUUCUCACCAAGAUUUUUGGAACUGAUUCUUUAACAAAUUUAAUUAUCAUUUAUUAAGUUUUCUAAUUCUAGCCAAUUAUAAUUAAUCCAUGAAAUCUUGCUUCCUCACAAAGAUUUUUGGAAUCGUGAAUCACAUCUAACCCUAAUCGUAUAUGUUCUCUAUAUAUAUCCAUUUCAUUGCUAAGAGUAAACAUCACCUCUUAACAUAAAAAGUUGAUAAAAAAAUGGCUGCCAUUUUACUUACCUUUGUGACUUGAGACCUUACAAAAACUAAUCUUUUUGUGUGGUUUAAAAGGUAUGGGAGUGAGCACAUCAACGUUGCCUUGGUACACUCAUCCUCUUAUUUUCUGUUGUUUUUUUAAGAAAUUAAUCAUAUAUUAAUUAUCAUUUUGUGUGGUUUAUAAUGAUGUACUAGAUAAAUUACCCGCACUAUGUGCGGGAUGAAAUGACAAUUAAAUAAGUGCAUUGUAGUCUUAGUUACAAAAAUUAUUGUAUUAUUAUCCGGAAUCCAAAAUCUGUUAGUGUAUUAUGAAACAUGUUUAAAAAAACGUUUUAUAUUCCAAUAAUCGAUUUUUCGUAUCGGAAUUCGUUUUACCCGUAAAAUAAUUAAAGACGACAAUUUCUUUUCUAACGUAACUUAAAUAACAAACACAUAUACAUCUUUGUAAAAGAGUUGAUGAAUAUUUAAAAAAUUUAGAUUGCUCGAAAACUAAGAAGAUGUGUGUUUGGUAAAUUUGAGAGGAUGAAGAUGAUAUCAGGAAAUAUAUUAUAGAGAAAUAUUUUUGUAGGGUUCCAUUAAAUUUUUGAAAUUUGGAUUGCCUUCAAAAUUUGAAAAAUUAAUUUAUUGUUGAUUUUAUGAUAGAUUUAGUUUUGAGAAUUAAUUUUAUAAAUGUAGUUUGGAUUUAUGAACCUAGGAAAAUUUGUACUUACAAAAGUUAUAAAAAUAUAUUCUAAUUUAUUAAUUUACAUGAAUUAUACGCUUAUAUGUUUGAAUUGUUAAAUAUAUAUAUAUAUGUGUGUGUGUUAGUCUGGAUUUAAAAAUAUAGACCUUAGAUCAAUUUAAUAUAUAUAUAUAUAUACAUAUACACGAAUCCUUUAUGUAUAGAUAGAGAUAUGAUGUUUGUAUUACUGAUGUUUAAUGUUAAUUAACGAAAUAAUUAGAAUAUCAUGGCACAUUUGUAACUAAUCUAGUAAUAUAUAGACCAUUAGUUUGCUCUAUUUAUGAAAUAAAAAAUGUCUGUUUGAUUUUAAGUUUAAGCUUGGACAUAGCAUGUCUUACAUUUUAAUAUUAGAUAAUACAGAUUUGUUAUUUGUUAUGCAUAUAUAGAAAAAUGUAACAUUUGUUAUGUGUUUGCUAAUAUAGAAAUAAUAAAGUUUGUCCCGUAUAGAUUGUGUGUGUUUUUUUUUUAAAUUUUUAAUUAGAAAUUUGUUUUUGAUAAGUGGGAUAUAUGGAUGUAUGAGACUUAGACAUGUCAAUUAGGGCCGAAGCCCGAGGCUAGCCCGGCCCAGCCCUAAAAAAUAGCGGGCCUGGACUUAAAAAUAUAUGUCCAGAAAAGAAUCGGGCAUUCCGGGCUAAAUCCGUUGGGCUAAAGGGUUUUUAGGGCUUAGCCCGGCCGGUUUCGGGCCGGCCCGAAAAGGCCUUAAAAAGAGAUUUUAACUAUUUUUUUGUAAAUAUUAUUGUUUAAUUAAGAGAUUUGUUUAAAGAUUUUUUUUAAUAGAAUUAAAAACCCUAAACCUAGUUUUCUAAUUGUGUCUUACUAUAAGUGUUAUGAUUUUAUAUUUUAUUUAGUGUGGGUUUAAACAAUUUAUUUGGAUUAUUUAUUUUUUAAACUUUUUUAAAACUAGAUUCACUUUAGUGGGUUAUUUAAGUUUCGUUUGACUCGUUUUAUACAUAGAUUUUUUUUUUCAAGAGAUAUUAUAAAUUAGAAAGGUUUAUUUUUCUCGAAAGAAAAGCCCUGUAGCCCUAUUAGGGCCGAGCCGGGCUUCAAAAUCUAGGCUCAGAAUUUUUACGGGCCGGGCUGGGCCGGCUCAAACAUAUGCGGGUUUUGCGGGCUUCGGGCCGGGCCGGGCCGGGCUAGCCCGAUUGACAUGCCUAAUGAGACUAAUGGCAAAUUCUGUAAAUAGUCUAAUAAAUCUUGGGUAAUUAUCUAAAUAGAAGCCAAAUCAUUGUAAGAGCGACACAUCAGCGUGGCAAUCUUGUUAAUAACACAUGAUGGUAAAAAAAAAUUUUAAAAAUGUUUCUCUAUUAAUAUAUAGGGGAUGGGACUGAGCAAGAAUAUACGUUGAUGCAAAAGGAUGUGAGUUGGCCUAUUGGUGGCUUGCCUGUUUCUCAGGUAAAUUCAUUUAUCAUAUUAUAUGUAAUGAAGGAACAUGCAUGCGUUUAUUAUAUAUUAUUAACAUAUAAUAACAUUUGUUAUAUUUUCAUAUAUUUGUCAUACGAAUAUAAAGUAUAUUUGUUAUACUUUAUAUGAUUGAUUUAAAGUUUAACAAAAUUUAAACUUUAUAUGUUCUCUAUAUACAAUCGUAUACAUGGCCGGUCCGGUUAAAUCCGGGGCCAAAUACGAAAAAAAAAUUUGGAACAUUUUUAAGAGAUAAAAAAUGCUAAAACAUUUUUUUCGCCAAUUAUGGGGUAUUAAUAAUUUUUAUUUAAUAAUUUUUCUUAUUUUUUGGACAUUGUUUACUAAUUAUAGGAUUUUUUUGUUAAUGAUGGGGUAUUUUUUUGCUAUUUAUGAGACAUUUUUGCUAAUGUUAGAAUUUUUUUCUGCCAAUUAUGAGGCCUAUUUUACAAAUUAUGAGACAAUUUUGCUAAUUUUUGGGGUUUAUUUUACUAAUUGUGGGUUUAAAAAAAAAAUAUACUUUCCCACAAAAUGGGCCUCAAAAAUUUGAGGCCCAACACAAAUGUAUCAUACAAAUCUGUCAAGGGCCGGGCCUGAUCGUAUAUGUAGUUAUAACAAAAUGAAAUAAUUGAUUUAAAGUUUAUACUUUAUAUGAAGUUUAAAUAUUAUAAAUAUUUAAACCUUAAAUAUUAUAAUUAUUUAAAUUUUUAAAAAAGUUAAACUUUAUAAAAUGUUUAAAAUAUUUAUAAUAUUAAAACUUUUAUGAAGCUUCAAAUAUUAUAAAUAUUUUAACUUUAUAAGAAUUUUAAAUAUUAUAAUUAUUUAAAAUUUAUAAGAAGCUUAACUAUCAUAAAUACUUAAACUUUAUAAAUGUUUAAAGUAUUUCUAAUAUUUAAUAAUAUUUGAACUCAAUAUAAAUUAAAAAUAUAACUAUUAUGGUACCAUUUAAAAGCAAAUUUUAAAUUAACAAAAUGAUGUUUAAUUCCACGGGACGGGGUUAUACGGUGACAUGGGUUUGGAUCAAUAUUAAUACGGGACGGUAUACCAUAGGUAAAAUCGUAGGAUUAACAAUCAAAAUAUAAUUAUACAAUCUUUAACACAGUAAACAAAACAAACAAGAUUAACAAAACAAGUACAACUUAAAAUUUAAAUUUUUUAGUUUCAAAAAUCUAGCUUUAUUACAAACCAAAUAAAUCAAUCAUAAGAUUAUAAACAAAAUUUUCUUAAUAAAAAAUAUUGCAACAAAAAUAAUCAAGUUACCAAAAAAAUAAAAACAAAAAUUUAUUUAUCCCGCGCUGUGCCGCGGGUCAUAUCCUAGUUGUUCUUAUUUUACAUAACAAACGUCGUACCAACUUUAAAUCUUAGAUUUUACAACCAAAAGAAAUUAUCUUUAGAAAAACAUUUACUAUAGGAUUCAUAUACUCUUUAGGUAAAACAAUUAUAUAUAUAUCUAAAUUAUUUAUAACUUUUUUUUUUGUCAAAAAAAAAAAUUUAUAACUUUAUAAGUAUAUUUAUAAGAAAUUAUAUGUACUAUAGUCUAUAUAUCUAUAUAUAUAUAUAUAUAUAUAUGUGUAAAUAUUGAUAAGUUAUUGUUAUUUGAGUUUGACAAAAGCACAACAUUUGGGCUUUAGUGGGCCAAACGAAUGUGGCAUGGAGAAGAAGAACAAAAGUGUGGGCAAUAAUUUGUGGCCCAAAUUCAUCACUUAUAUAUCUCUUUUACAACAUACGAGAGAUAGUGGUGGUAGGUGAGACAAGAUAAUCUAAAGAGAGUUCUAGAGUAGAGAGAUACAAGAGCUUCCCAAGCAAGCUUCUUCUUUCUCUUGGUUGAUCUUGAAUCUUGUUCUUCUUGUGUGAAAAAUCUGUAAACCAAAACAACAUCCACAAGUUUGUGGUGCUUGUAACCUCUUUGAGAUAGUGAAGCUUUGGGAACAAGAGAUCUCCCCCGAGACGUAGGGGUUGAGGCCGUGAACUCGGUUAUCAAUUUCUUGUGUUGUUUCUUUAGCAAGUAAUCUCACUCACUUUUUCUCCACAAGGGGUAUCAAAGCUCCAGGCUGGUGUAGAGCUGCUAAAGAGUUUCAGAUCAAGGGUUACAAGAAGACUUACAAGAUAAGUAACACUCGGGUCGAGGUGGACAGAUUUGAUGGAACCGGUGACUUCUCUUUGUGGAAGGUCAGAAUGUUGGCUUACUUUGGGGUUCUAGGGCUGAAAAGUAUCUUGAAUGAUGAGCAGCUGCUAAGAGACCCACCAACUACAGAAGAGGAAGCUGCAGCAGCUGGAAGAGACGCUCAAGUGGGCAUUGCUGGAGAUUUUGAGCUGCCUUCAAACAUUGAUCCUGCAAAGUUUGAAAAAUCAGAGAAGGCAAAAGAUCUUAUAGUACUAAACGUGGGAAAUCAAGUACUAAGGAAGAUCAAAAACUGCGAGACAGCUGCAGCCAUGUGGUCUACACUAAACAGGUUAUACAUGGAGACUUCUCUACCUAAUCGCAUCUACUUACAGCUUAAGUUCUAUACUUACAAGAUGACUGAUUCUAAGAGUAUAGAUGGGAAUGUGGAUGACUUCCUUAAGCUAGUUACUGAUCUAAACAACAUAGGAGUAGAUGUGACAGAAGAGGUUCAAGCUUUUCUAUUGUUGAGUUCGUUAUCUGACCGAUAUGAUCAGCUCAAAGAGACGCUGAAGUAUGGCAGAGACACAUUGAGCUUGAAUGAGGUCAUUGGAGCUGCUAAAUCAAAGGAAAGAGAACUCGCAGAAAGUGGAAAGCUUUCAAAAUCUCAAAGUGAAGGUCUGUACGUGGAAACAAGAGGCAGAUCAGAGAAGAGGUUUGACAAAGGAAAAGGCAAACCGUGGAGAGGACGUUCUAAGAGCAAAGGCAGAUCAAUAUCAAGGCCAAAGAAUACUAAAAACAACAAGGGCUGCUUCAUUUGUGGUAAAGAAGGACAUUGGAAAAGGGAGUGUCCUGAAAAGUCCUCAAACAAACCUUCAAGUUCAGCAAACAUUGCAACAGAACCAAAGCAGCCUUUAGUACUAACCGUUAGCCCUCAAGACACUAAGGAAGAAUGGGUUAUGGAUUCUGGUUGUAGUUUUCAUAUUACACCAGACAAGAAUUCUCUAUUUGACCUACAAGAGUUUGAUGGUGGCAAGGUCUUGAUGGGUAAUAUGACUCACUGUGAAGUGAAAGGGAUUGGUAAGAUUAAGAUCUUAAAUCCAGAUGAUUCUAUGGUCAUAUUAACAAAUGUGAGGUACGUACCUACAAUGGGAAGGAACCUCAUUUCAUAUGGUCAAUUUGAGAAGAACGGCUGCAAAUAUGAAGGGGAAGACUUCGUAGUCACUUUCUACAAAGAUGGACAGAAGGUUAUUUCUGGAAAAUAUCAAGAUGGGUUGUACUAUCUACAAGGAAAGGUUGUAAAAGGAGAAGUUGCAGUGGCAAGACCAGAAGUUGACAUGACCAGCCUGUGGCAUUCUAGGCUAGGUCAUAUGAGUUUGAAGAACAUGAACGUGCUGGUUAAAGAAGGUUACUUGUCGGGAAAAGAAGUAGACAAGCUGGACUUUUGUGAGAGUUGCGUACUUGGAAAAUCUGACAAGCAAAGUUUCCCAACUGCUAAGCACACCACCAAAGGUAUAUUAGAUUAUAUACAUUCUGAUCUCUGGGAUCUCCUUCUACUCCAGAAAGUCUUGGUGGUUGCAAGUACUUUGUAAGCUUCGUUGAUGAUUUCUCAAAGAAAGUAUGGGUGUAUUUUCUGAAGACUAAGGAUGAGGCAUUUCACAAAUUGAAAGAAUGGAAACAAGCAGUUGAGAAUCAAACGGGCAAGAAGAUUAAGUACUUACGGACUGAUAAUGGUCUUGAGUUCUGUAACACACAAUUUGACAACUUGUGUAAGGAAGCAGGAAUAAAGAGGCACAGAACGUGUACCUAUACACCGCAGCAAAAUGGUGUAUCGAAGAGGAUGAACAUGACCAUUAUGGAUAAGGUUAGAAGUAUGCUUGCUGAAACAGGAUUGAGUCAGAAAUUUUGGGCUGAAGCUACUUCUACGGCUGUCUACUUAAUCAACAGGAUACCAAACUCGUCUAUUGGUUUCAAGUUACCUGAGGAAGUGUGGACAGGUACAAAACCAGAUUUAAGUCACCUAAGGAGGUUCGGAUGUUCAGCUUAUGUCCAUGUUACCCAAGAUAAGACAAGUCCAAGAGCAGUCAAAGGAAUUUUCAUGGGAUAUCCUUUCGGUAUUAAAGGAUACAGAGUCUGGUUGCCUAAGGAAGGGAAAUGCACUAAUAGUAUAAAUGUAGUGUUCAAUGAAAGUGAGCUAUACAAGAACACACUAAGUAGUGCAGAUGGAAGGAAAGACGAAGCUGAAAAGGAGUACAGGAAAUUGAAGAAAGCUGGAAAAAGAGUGUCUUUCAGCCAUGAUCUUAUUAGAGGUCCUUCUACCAGUUAUUCUGAUUCGGAUGACGCAUCUUCUCAAGGUGGAGAAACUUCCACAUCUUCAUUAGAAAAUUCUGAAAGUUCACAAGAAUCAGAAACAGAUGAGGAAGUUGGUGGAUCAGAAAAUGAUCAGUCCCUGGAUGAUUAUUUGUUGACGAGGGACAGAAAACGGAGAAGUAAUAUCAGGCCUCCAUCAAGAUUCGAAGACGCAGAUUUCGUAGCUUAUGCUUUGGCAAUAGCAGAAGACUUGGAAAUAGAAGAGCCUAAGUCAUAUGAAGAAGCUAUGAAAAGUAGUAAGAGAAAGCAGUGGGAAAAUGCAAUGAAGGAAGAGAUGGAUUCUCAUAGAAAGAUUCAUACUUGGGAUAUAAUUGAGAAACCAGAAAAGCAGAAGCUGAUUGGAUGAAAAUGGAUCUUUAUAUUGAAGCCAGGCAUACCAGGAGUGGAGAAAUAGAGAUACAAGGCCAAACUUGUUGCUAAGGUUUUUUUUUGCAGCAAGAAGGAAUUGAUUAUAAUGAAGUGUUUUCUCCAGUGGUGAAACAUGUCUCCAUUAGGUUAAUGUUAUCACUUGUGGUUAACAUGGAUUAUGAGCUGGAGCAAAUGGAUGUUAAAACAGCUUUUCUGGAUGGUAAUCUAGAGGAAAGGAUCCUAAUGACUCAAUCUGAAGGAUUCAUACAAGAGGGAAACGAAAACAAAGUUUGUUUGUUGAGGAAGUCCCUAUAUGGCCUAAAACAGUCUCCUAGGCUUUGGAAUCAUAGGUUUGAUGGAUUCAUGCAGGAUCAGAAGUUUGAAAGAAGCUGCUAUGACCCAUGUGUCUACAUGAGAGACACUCAAACUGAUAAAGCUAUCUAUUUGUUGCUCUAUGUUGAUGAUAUUCUGAUAAUUUCAGGGAGUAUGACUGUUAUACAGGAGCUUAAAGACAAGCUGAAUUGUGAGUUUGAAAUGAAAGAUUUGGGGAAGGCUUCAAGAAUUCUGGGCAUGGAUAUCAUAAGAGAUAGAGAGAAGGGAGAAUUGAUUCUGUCUCAGGGAAACUACUUGGAGAAAGUGUUAAAAACAUUUGGAAUGUUUGAAGCAAGGCCAGUGAUUACAUCAACUGCUGCUCAUUUCAAACUCAGAAGUUUGUCAGAAGAGGAAAAGAAAACAGAAGCUGUACACAUGGAAAGAAUUCCAUAUGGAAGUGUUGUGGGGAGUUUAAUGUACGCUAUGGUUGGUUCAAGGCUAGAUUUAGCAUUUGCAGUGGGUUUAAUCAGCAGGUUUAUGUCAAGUCCAGGAAAAGAUCAUUGGUCUGCAGUGAAAUGGGUGUUAAGGUAUUUAAAAGGUGCAUACACUCAAAACUUAAUUUUUAAGAAGGAUUCUAAGUUCUGCAUUGAAGGAUUUUCAGAUUCAGAUUAUGCGACAGACUUAGAUCGGAGAAGAUCAGUGAUGGGUUUUGUGUUUAAAGUUGGUGGAAACACAAUUUCAUGGAAAUCAAGUUUACAAUCUGUUGUGGCUAUUUCAACCACAGAAGCGGAGUAUAUGGCUCUUACUGAAGCAGUGAAAGAAGCCAUUUGGUUGAAAGGUUUGUGUUCAGAAUUGGGUUUUAAGCAAGACAGUGUUAUGGUUCAUUAUGCUUCACAAAGUGCUCUAGCCCUAGCAAAGAAUUCAGUUCAUUACGAGAGAACCAAGCACAUAGACACUAAAUUUCAUUUCAUCAGGGAUAUAGUGUCUAAGGGUGAUGUUGUUCUACACAAAAUCCACACAACAGUCAAUCCAGCAGAUUUUCUAACUAAGACGGUACCUGGCCAGAAGUUCCAGCUUUGCUGCGAGCUUCUCAACAUCCACUGAGGUGGAGCAGCGGCUCCAGGUAACUCCAGUAACCUCACAGAACAGGUGAAUAAAAAUUUAGUUAGUCUCUGUGAGUAAUACUCAAAUGUCAGAAUUGAGUAAAGGGUUUAAAUGAAAUUGGAGUUACCUGUUGAGUAACUUCGUUUAAAAAAGCGCGCCUGUGGAGCGCAAUGGCGCGAUGCGCACCGAGGCACAAGAAAAAUCUCAACAAGAGCCGAAGGCGUGGCACAGUCUAUGAUGCGAGCGCCUUACGUGAGCCAUGGCAAAAGCGACGUUGCGCGAUGCGAGCGCUUUACUGUGUUGUGGCGCAACAGAAGGAAAGUGAAAUAUUUGUAAUCUUCUUGUUAGCUUUUUUAAACUCAACGUGUAAUUACUUUGAGUAUAUUUAUAAAUCUCAAAUUGGUUUUAAAAAUCCCUAUUUAUGUGUGUCAAUAUUCUCACGAUUCACACCAAUAAAAAUCCCUAGACGACUUUUGGCAUUCCUCUCUUAUAUUCAAACAAACCACAGCAGACGCUCUCUCUUCUCACUUCUCAAACUUCUCAAGUUUUAUUCUAAGGUAAUUCAUUCUUCCUUUGUUUAUUCUCUUUGACAUUUUGCUAUGUUUUUCUCAAGUCUGUUUCAAUUUUGUUUAGUUCUCAUGUUCUGUUUUAAUUUCUUUUAGAUUAGUGACUUUGUUUUGUUCUCAUGUUUUGUUUAACGAUUUCGUGAUUUUUUCAAAGCCAUCACUGUUCAGAUUUGUUUGCUUUUUACAAUUAACAUAUUGUUGGAUCGACUAAAUAAAAAUCCAACACGUCGUGUGCUUAUGCUAUCAUAUUAGUCUGAAUCAUGUUUUCAUAAUUUGUCAAUCGAUAUGAGUACGUAAAACAAAAUACUCACGUCCAAAAAUGUCUUACUUCUGUUUUUUUAGAUAAGUGACACCAUAGCUGAUCAUCCAAGCCAAGAAAUGGAUCCAGGAAGAAAACAUGGUACUCCCGAUCCCACCAACAGAAACAAAUGGACAUGUAAUCAUUGUUUCAAAACAACUAAUGGAGGAAUCAGUCGUCACAAACAAGACUUGGUUGGAGGUUUUCGAAAUGCGACUAAAUGCAAAGAGUGUCCAGAGCAUGUUAGGGAAGAAAUAAAAGCAUUUAUGAUGAGAAAGGCUGAACUUAAAGCUGCUGUUCAAAUGACGCCACCACCUCCUGAAUUUGAAGAUUAUGAUGAUGGGGGAGAAGAGAAGGAUUAUGAGCCAAAAAACAAAGCCGGUCCUUCGCAGCGCAAAAAGCCACGACACAAAGGUCCACUUGACAGGUUCAUAAUUUCUCCACCUCCAGAUUUAUUGAAUGCUAGAAAAGAAAGGAAAGGAAUUUUUGGAGCUUGUGAUAAGGAAUGGCUAUAUUUAUAGUCAUAUUCCUCAUCAUAAAUGGCUAUAUUUAUAGUCAUAUUCCUCAUCAUGUUCAGUAGAGGAAUAUGACUUUUGCCAUGGCUCACGUAAGGCGCUCGCAUCAUAGACUAUGCCACGCCUUCGGCUCUUGUUGCGAUUUUCCUUGUGCCUCGGUGCGCAUCGCACCAUUGCGCGCCUAUGGCGCGCUUUUUUUAACUAAGGUUGUACCUAAACUGAAUAGAUCGUCUAUUUGCAAUAACCACUUGUUUACAAUCAAAUAAGGUAAUACCGUCUUAACACUUGUUGAAUUAAUAUCAUUCGAACAAAGCUAGACAUAGGGGCUUAGUUACUUAUGUUGAAUAAAUAUUUGCUCAGAACCGAGUAGCAAGCAGAGUUAUUAAAGGAGAGUUCAAUCAGGUUUUGCUCAUUUGAUUUCAGUCUCUCAUCAUCUUGUUAUUAAAGAACUAGAUAAGAUGCGUAAUUUGACUUGUUAUUGAGUGUCUGUAUUUGUGAACAUUGAAAUUUUAAGAUGUCUUUUUGUUCUGUACAGGCAGUGUAUUGAGUGGUGGUGGGAUUGCUCGACUUCCUAAGGCAAGUGUUCUAGUUAGUCGUUUGGAAAUUCCUAUGAUAUAUGGCAUUGAUGCCAUUCACGAGCAUGAUAAUGUCUAUAACGCUACUAUUUUCCCUCACAAUGUUUGUCUUAGAGCCACCAGGCACGUAUUAGCUGAUAUGUUUCUUUGAUUUUGCAUAUUCGAGCUGGAAUGGUGAGAAGAUGCAUGCAAAUACUUAUCACAGGGUAUCUUAAGGGUAGCCUUAAGUUUAAGGUCUGCUUACUUUUUUCCUUUCAUUUUAAACAUGACAUGUUACACAUUUUCUCUCUACUCUGACUCCAAUUUAGUGAUCGGUUUUGAACUAUUACUAGAAGGGUUAUUCUCUAGGGAUGCAUCAUAAUCUAGUAUUUGUGAAUUGUUUAGUGGAGUAACAUGCAUCAGUUAUGGAUUUUCUUAGAAAAAAUACUUUGAUAAACGUUUUAGCCUUACUGCUUCAGUUGUUAACUUUCAGAAUAUGAUUACUGGAGCGGCACAAAAAUGGAUGGUGGAAUUCUUGUGGUUUUAGGUCCAGAUGGACCCAUGCCACAGACAAAAGAACAUAUCCUACUUACACGCCAGGUUCACAUUAUUACAAUAUGAACACUUGAAGCUACUCAGUUGAGUUAGGUUGUUUGCCACAAUUUGAAUUAUUGAAUGUUCCACAGGUUGGUAUUUCCUCACUUGUGUGCUUCUUGAACAAAGUUGAUGUGGUGGAUGAUCCUAAGCUGUUGGAGCUUGUCGAGAUGGAACUACGAGGUUUGUAGAGUUUUAAUCUCACAGAAUUUCUGUCAAUCAUCAUACGAAGUAAGUACAAGCUUUCUGACAUCAACUCUUGUCUCUAUAAAGAACUCCUCAGCUUCUACAAUUUUCCUGGGGAUGAUAUUCCCAUCAUCCGAGGAUCUGCUUGUACGCAUUACAAGGCACCAAUGAUGAAAUUGGAAGGCAAGCUAUAUUAAAGCUAAUGGAUGCUGUUGAUGAAUACAUACCUGACCCUGUUCGCGUGCUUGACAAGGCUUUCUUGAUGCCAAUUGAAGAUGUUUUCUCAAUUCAAGUACACUAGUCUACAUCCUUGUUGUUUUCUGAUUCACUCUUUAAGAACAAAUCAGUUCUGAUACUUUUCUUUUUUCUUGAAGGGACGUGGAACUGUUGCAACCGGUCGUAUUGAAUAGGGAACCAUUAAAGUGGGUGAAGAAGUUGAGAUAUUGGGUUUACGUGAGGUGAGUGUGCAUAAAUAUUGUUUUAGUACUGCCAGAGUGGUGAUUUACUGGGGGAUAUUACAAUUAAGCAUUUUCUUUAGCGUAACUGUGAGAUUUGAUUUCCAGGGGCUUCCACUGAAAUCGACUGUAACUGGAGUUGAGAUGUUCAAGAAUAAAGCCAAUAUCAAGAGAUUACAAAUAAAAGUUGUGGGCAUGUAAGAUACUGAUUAAACCUUGGCUUCUAUUAUGCUAGGCUGGUGACCAUGUAGGGCUUCUUUUGCGGGGGCUAAAGAGAGCAGACAUUCAGCGUGGAAUGGUAAGCUUAUGACUACGAUUACAGCAACUCAUCAAAACAAGCUUUACAUAAGUUUUUAAUUUUCACUACGGUUGGUUAUUAGGUGAUUGCUAAGCCUAGUUCAUGCAAGACAUACAAAAAGUUUGAAGCAGAGAAUUACGUGCUCACAAAUUAAAUUCUUCCUUAGGUCUGUGUUCUGGCUAUAACGUUUCUGAAUGAAUAUUGCUCUUUCUCCUUGUAUUUUGUAGAGUCUUGAAUAGAACUUUUAUAGAGCAUCUUUGAAUUCUUAGAUCAUAGAGUUGAUUUUGAGUGCUAAUUCCAACUUAUCAUCUCUAUGAUAUGUGCAGUGUUUUAUUAUUUCGGAUUGGCAAGGUGUUGAUAAGAUUUCCUCACCACCGCAUACACACUACACAGCUUCCGUCCGAGCUGCAAUUCAAGCUGGUUGGUAUUUCAAACUUCACAGACAUUCCUGGACUGAAAUAGGAAACUGUUACUCAUGUCUGUGUUAGCUAAUGAAAUAAUAUGCAGGUCAUUGUCCCUAUCUUAUGUCCUUGGUGAAGAACAAAGCAAUUCCUAUCACUCGGAUUGAUGAUGCUGUCGGAAGAUUCCUGCUUGUCAAGUUCACCAUGGGUCUUUUUGAGAACCCUUUGGCUGAUUACAGUUUUAUCCAAUGAAUUAGGAAUCUGUUGCAAGUACUACUACAAAAUCUUGAUGGAAUGUUCUUAAUUUCUAUUAGGCACACAGAGACUUGGCAAAGGGGGCUGUUAUAAAAUCCUUUGUGCUGCUGAAAAACGGGAACAAAACCAAUCCUAUGCUCCCACUUCCCAGGAACACUUCAAACUUUUUAUUUCGCAGUGAUCUGCAGUUAUUUAGAACAAUCCUACAAGAUUCACCGCAGUAGCACCAGGCCCGGCUCUAUACAUGUGCCCUAGGUGCUCAUGCACAGGGUCCUUGUAAUUUUGUGUCUUCUAUCAUAACUAAAUUUACUAAAAUUAGGGUCCAAAAUUUUUUUUCUUUUGUAAUUUUUUUUCAGCUCAGGGUCCUUAAAUUUUUUGAGCCGGCCCUGAGUAGCACCAUUAAAUCAUUUUUUAUGUAAGGCUUUUGUUUUUUGGCGUCAAAUAUUUAUGUUAGGACAUCUUUUGAUUUGUACCUAUAUUUUGUUGCUAAGAUAUCCACAGAAUUCACAAGGAUGGCAUGAACCUUUGAUGUACCCAUUUAGUCAGCAACCUUGACGUACAUUGGGUAUAAUUGGUAAGGUACUUUAGUUAUCUUUUCAGACAUUCGAAAAAUAUUUGUUCUAUGUAAGGCGUAGCAAUCCUUCAGAACUAAACAUUGAAUAUGAUGUUUUGUGUAGAUAUUACAGAUUGCGGCGGUGUGGAAGUUUCUUCACGGGUCGAAAGGAAUAGUUGUAUUACAGACGAAAAAUGGCUUUGUCGUGCAGUAACAUCAGAAUUGAAGAAAACUACAGGAGAUUUUGCUGAAGGAGCUUGGGCUGGUGCUGCCCAUUAUCUCCUCUGGUAUAUGCUUGCAAGCCACGUAAGCGUCUCUUGUACAUAUAACUCUUCUUAAUUAGGUUUUGAGACAUUUAUUUAUAAUCGUGUCAUUUCUCUUUUAUAGACACAUUUUUGUAGAUAACUGGAGCAUUCUGGUACAUGUUGUCAGUGGAACGUAACGAUACUUGUUGGAGAUUUGCGUGUAAGUUCAGCCAGAUCCGUGACUCUGUGUUCAGAUUCUGUAUUGUGGGAGUAAAUUUGUGUCCCUGAGCUUCUCAAGAGCAAUUGUUCUGCUAAAGGAGAUGAUUCAAAGUUUAACUUUGGGAUAUACGGUCAAGCUAUAUCUUCAAAAAAAUUCUCCAAGUUCUGUUAUUGUAUAUGGUGGAGUUUUCAAAAUCUCAGGUAAGGCCUCGAAAUCAAUGAAUAAACCGUUGUUAUGCAGUAAUUUGAUAUCUUUGGUGUUUUCUUGAACAGCGCCUUAGGUCAAGGGCUGCAAACAAGUACAUUUCCAGGAGAGGUUUUGUUUUCCAGCGCGUUAGGUCAAGGGUUUCUUCUUUCGCGCUUCUACUCGGGAAUAUGCAGACUUAUCUUCAUUUACUUACUGUUCGUCUCGAGGAAAUGAGGAUCAAAAGAUGUGACUCGGAACAGUAUCACAGGUCACUUCCACAAAAUUUGAGGGAAAGAGUCAGACGCUAUGAUCAAUACAAAUGGUUAGAGACCAGAGGUGUUAAGGAAGAAAAUUUAGUUCAGAGUUUAGCUACGGAUCUCAGAAGAGACAUCAAACGUCAUCUUUGCCUGAGUUUAGUUAGGAGGGUUGGUUUUCACAAUCAGAAUGCUAAAAUUGCUUGAGAUACUAUACUAGAUGGAGGCCGUUUAAUGAAAUGAUGUUCAUAAUCCGAGGCCGGUUAGAGAGUGUAACACUAGAUGGAGGAAGAAGCUGUUUCUUCAACAGAGGGUUAAUAUUGAAAGAAGGAGACUUUUGUGGUGAAGAGCUUCUGCCAUGGGCUCUUGACCUUAAAGCAGGCUCCAUCUUACCUUCUUCCACAAGAACAGUGACGGAUCUGUCAUCUUCUUAUUCCUGAAGGUAAGUGUCUUAUUAUGGUUAGUCGAUUGAUUUUGCUCUUAUAGUUUGGAAUUACAUUCUCCUUUUAUUUAUAUUCUACAGUAGCGGAUGAGUAUUUUGUUGUCUAUAUAUAUGACUUUGAGCCUAUCUUAGAAACAAACUUUUGAUUUGAGGAGAUUUUCCUUUUCUUCAUAAAGUAGCUUUGAAUGAUCAAACUUCCAUUUACUUCUAAUGUGUUUUAGGUAUGACAUCACUCUAGACUGUUGCAAGCUACUUUACUUCUGUGGAUGAUGGUAAACACUCUUCCAUACUAUCCCAUAUUUGUAUCACAUGAUUUUUUAUUUCAGAAUCAUGUUUUUAUUUAUGAAGUUUCUCAUCUGGUGAUUGGUGUUUGUAUAGAUGAGUUCAAAGAAUUCUUUAUGCAAUUUGGAGAGCUGAAAGAACAUCAGAUUAUGCGUGAUCAUUCAACUGGAAGAUCACGUGGCUUUGGGUUUGUUACAUAUGAAAAGUGAAGAUAUGGUUCAUCAUCUCUUUGCGAAAGGGGGAACAGAAUUGAGCUUUCAGGGACUCAGGUAACUACACGUUCUUACAAAUAUUGUUGGGAUUCUAAGACUUUGUAGCUAUAGUCAAUCUGCCCUGUUACUUUGCUUAACUGUCUGUGGAAAUUAUCUCGUAUAGGAUAAAGAAGGCGGAGCUACAAAACAAACUCAGUUACAACCCCGUCAAAGCGGUUCGGUGAUUCUCGCUCUAACUUUGGUGGUGGUAAUGGAGAUGGUUAUGGUGGCGGACACGGUGGUUAAUGCAUUGUUUGCUUCCUUGUUUGCUUCUUUUGAUUCCUCUGCUUAGUGUAGUACUUGUUUCUUUGCUUGCUUCUUUGCUUGUUUCUUUGCUUGUUUCUUUGCUUGCUUAGUGUAUUACUUGUUUCUUUGCUUGUUUGAUUCCUCUGCUUAGUGUAUUACUUGUUUCAUUGCUUCUUUGAUUUCUUUGCUUAGUGGAUACUUGUUUCAUUGCUUCUUUGAUUGCUUAGUGCAUUACUUGUUUUUUUUUUGCCUCUUUGAUUACUCUGCUUAUUGUAUUACUUGUUUCUUUGCUUCUUUGAUUCCUCUGCUUCUUUGAUUGAUUCUAUUUUUAUCUUUUUUCUUCUUAAUAUUCUCGAUUGCUUCUUUACAUGCUUAGCUUUGUUUAUUUGAUUCUUUAAUUCAUUUUCUUAGUAUAUUGCUUGUUUCUUUAUUUCCUUAAUGCAAUAUUUGCUUCCUUGAUUCCUCUGCUCAAGUUCUUCUUUGCUUUUUCUAUUUUUGUUAAGAUUAUGAAAUAUUUUAUGCAGCUGAGACUUGAGAGAUUAUGUAAGAUGUAUUUAUUUCUCGAUUGGAUGACAUUAUGUAAGAACAUAUUUUUAUAUAAUAAAUAAAAUUUAAUUGAUUUAAAUUCUCCGAAAAUUUAUAAAAUAUCCAAUCGCAAAAAUUUUGAACGUCUCCCCAAUCUCAAAUGAAAUCAAAAUCUCGUGUUCAUGGUCUUUUUUUUUGUUUUAUAUUUAGGACAUUUAAAAAAAAAAUCUUGUUUACUGAUGAUAUAAUACACAAGAAGAAGAAGUUGAACCUGAGAAUGGAAAAUUGAAGCUUGCUUGGCAUACAUGAAAAAAGGAUCGAAUUCGAAGAUUAAAUGAACUAAACAUAACCGAAACUAAAAAGCUUAAAAAGACGAGAUAUUAAUCUAAAUUAGUUAUUGAUUUGAUAAUUGAUACAAAAUAUAUAAAUUAUAUCAAUUACAAUGAUUGAUACUAUUAUUGAUCUAUUUGAAAUUGAUUCAAAUCUAUAUCAAUUUGCAUUAUUUUCAAAAUACUAAUACAACAAUAUUUUUUUACAUCAUUAAAAUAAUCAAUGUAUUUCGCCUCCGCCCACAUCUCCAUUCAGGAUUUCUUGGCCCACUAUCGGUAGAGGUCCAAUAUCGCCCACUACAUACUCUGCUUCAUCUCCAUCGUCAUCAAAAACUGGUUUAGAGUCAGCUUGAAAUUCUUCAGCAAGCAAACCUCGUCGAUUUCUUGUGGGACAUGAUGCUUGUCGAUGGCCAGGUUCACCGCAAGAAAAACACUUCAAAACAUUUGAAGGACGAGAAGUUCUAGAUAGCUCACCAUUAGAUGAAGAAUCGUGUGGCUGGACUGUUGGAGUUGAAACAGUGGCUUCAUUCAAUAGAGGACUUGUUGAAGCGGGUACAGUUCGAGUCGUUGUUUGUCCAUUCAUGUUGCUCCAAAAGGUAUUAGCUCCACGGCUCUGUCGUUCUACUGUGAGGGCUUGUUGGUGUGCUUCAGAAAUCGUCAAUGGUUGGAAAAGGUUAAGCGUGUGUUGAAUUUGUUGUCUAAGACCGCCAACAAAACGUGCGACGAGCUGCAACUCCGAGACAUGUGUAUCCACCCGAUUAAUCAUCAUGAAGAACUCUGUUGCAUAAUCUUCCACCGUACGAUUUCCUUGUCUUAAAUUCUGAAAUCUCUGAAACAUCAAUUGAUCAUAAUUGUAGGGAAGAAAAUUUUUGCGCAUCUCCCGCUUUAAUUUUUCCCAUGUCACAAUCUUUGACUUACCAAGACGAGUACGAGACGUCUUGUUUUGAGUCCACCAAGCAGCUGCACGAUCACAGAAUCGAAUCGCAAUCAAAGGAACACAACGAUCAAGUGGCACUCGUUUGAAUUCAAGAAUCUCUUCCACCGUCACAAACCAGUCGAGUAAUUCUUCCGCAAUGUUACUCCCACGAAACUCUGGAAUUUCGAGCUUGAAACCACGUUCCCAUCGAUCAUCAUGAUCAUCGUCUUCCUCUUUAUCAGAGUCAGCUUCAACGCGACGGUUAUUACGACCCCCACGACCACCAGCGAAUGGAUUAUCUUCAACAUCUGAAUCAGCUUCAUCAUCUAUGACUUCUUCACGGUCUUGAUGAACUGCUGGGAGCACUGGCCGCAUAUUCAUGGCUUGAAUUGCUGCUGUGAGAUUCUGGACUUGAGCUUGGAGAUCUCCAAUGGCUUGACGCGUAAUCUCGAUCUCCGUAGGAGGCACAACUUUCUUGGGUCUAGGCAUUGAAACAAGGAGCGUAGCAAAGCUCUGAUACCAACCUGGCGCAGCGUACGAACCGGAUAGAUCAGCUCAACCAAGGGAUUUGUUAAAAUCCUCGCUUGGGACCUGCUUCUCGUGAGAUGAAGUUAAUCAAAUCUACACAAGGCUUCUUGUCUGAUGAAUUUAAUCGAAUCAAGAACAAGGAAGAAGAUAAAUCUCUCUUUUAUUAAUAUUCUCAAAAAAGCUGCCGUCUAAUAACUUAUGAUAAACGCUUAAAUAAGAAGUUGGAAACUAAAAACCCUAGACUAGUGAAGAAGACGAAAGCAAUAAAAAAACACUUAAAGCCCAACACCAUAAUAAAGCCCAAAACCAAUAAACACACGUUCUUUUCUUGACUUCCAAGUCACGAUCCCGCUGCAUCACUCCAUCUCUGACACAAUGACAAUAUCUAAUUACAACAUAAUUUAACCUUUAAUAAACAAGAAAUUAAACAAAAUAUCCUAAUAUGGACUCUAAAACAGUUAAAUAAAACCUUCAUAUAAGAGUUUGUAGCUUACCUUUUGUGCAAAGGAGUACAUACAAACAAAUUUUUUUCUAAAUCUCACUGUUCAAAGAUAGUACACGAUUGGCAGUUGGCGAUGCAAAUAUAUUUUAGAUUUAGCUGUCCAUAUUUAAUUAAAUGGUCCAAUCUUUAUUUUUGUAUUGAAAAAAAAAAAAUGGUCCAAUCUUAGAACUAAUCAGUCUCAUAAAAUCUUUAGCAACCUAAUUUUAAAUAAGAAGCAAAUCCUAAAUUUGAAAAAGAUAAUAGGACAUAAUGAAAUAAGAAGAUGUUUAUAAAUUUGAUGUACCAAGAGAAAAAUCAAACCAAAAAAACGAAAAGAUACAAAUUGUAAUGAAAUACAUUGACAAUGGAGAAAAAAUCACAUAAAUAUAAUUUACAAAUAUCAUAAGCUACGUUUUGAUUCUAGUUCUUUAAGGUGAAAUUUCUCAAUUAUAAGAAAUUCAUAUCGAUCAAGAUGCAAAUGUAUUAAAAAUAUUGGUUUGAUGGCAUAUAGUUGUCAUCUUUUGAAAAUGCAUUAUUUAUCUAAAAUAUCAUUCACUCUAACACUAAACACAUAUGUGUUUUUUUUUUGGGGUUUAAAUGCUAAUUUAUUUAGUAAGCAAAACAAAAUUGACAAUAUAUUUAAACUAGUUUAGAUGGAACGGUUUGGCCAUCAAAAUGAAAUCAAUCGAACUAAGCAGAGCAAGACUUUGUAACUUGACAGAUCUCAACAUAAACAUUAUGCGAAUGUUUAUACAAAAUGGCCAUUACAAUCAAAUAUAAAUUAGUAUAGAUGUUCAACUAGUAUACCGAAAUCAAACUAUAUUAGAACAUCUUGGUAUUUGCUCAAUGAACAGCAAAACCGGUUGAAGUAAUAGCAAGUAUUGUUCUAUGUAUGUUUUACACUUCGAGCUGUAGAUAAUAUUUACUUGUCUUAGCUCUAAUUUCUAACUAUAGGUUUCACUUCUUUGUAUUAAUGUAUAACUUACAACAUAGAUCAAUAUACAUAUAGUAUGUUUAUGUAUAUAUUUGUCAAUGUAUUCUUUUAUGAUUCGAGUUGGCAUAUAUAUCAUCACAUAAGAUCAUCUUCUCUUUGAAAAUUGAGUGACGUCCCAACACAAUAGUAUGAGAGAUUCGCAUCAGCAAACCGAGAACUGACUAUUGAUAGGCCAACUUCAUGUUCCUCCAACUUAAAUGAUGACGAUGUGUUAGAUUCGCUUUGCGUAGAAGUAUAUGGUGUGUUUUCAUUAAUUGCUUUUCUUCAACAAUGAUGGCAUAUGAUUGUGUUUCUUCAUAGUGACAUAUCCGUCUAACACAUGAUGCCAUCAUACUCUUGCAAGAUUGCGCAAUAUCUCCCAAUGUGCAAAAUACAAAUCUAUCGUUCGUAAUAACUACAACACUAUCCAAUUUAAACAUUCAAAUCAUAAUUAGAUUAACCAAGAAUAUCCAUUAUUCCAAUAUAUUACCAAAAACUACCCAUAUAUGAAACAAAGAAAGAAAAAGUUAGCUUACAUAUCUUUCAUGUAAUCACAUUGAAACGGACAUGCAUCAAUAAUAUUUGUUAGGUUCAAGGUCUUGUGUUGCAGCAUCUUGUUAUUGUAGAGAAUUACACUUGGCAUGACACUUGUUGAGAAAAACACAUAAUCCUCACCAUCCGAAGAAAAUUUGCGUAGUGAAUGAGAUGAAGGCCCUAGUGAGACAGAGUUUUUGUUUUGUAAUUGAGAGUUCUUCUCUUUUCACUGGAAGCUGUAAAGAGUUUGUCACCUAAACACAUAGCAAAUACGGUUCCUAGAGAACCAAAAAAUCUAUAAAGUUAACAUCGAUUGAAAAUAUGGACUGAUUUUAUAGGUAAGGAAAUAAACAUUGAUCUAAAAGGAUGUAGAACAAGGUCAAAUAGGCAAGACCAAAGUAAUUGAUAAAUCUCUAAGACAGAUGAUUAAGAUAUUUUAAUCGCAAACGUUUUAAAAAAAAAACCAAAAAAAUAAGUAGAUCAUGACACAUCGGACUGGAAAAGAGUAGCAUCAAAGAAAUUAUAUAUAGUAAUACUAUAUUAUGUUUAAUAGAAGUAAUCAGUCUAUUAAAAUAUAUAUUGUACAAAAAAUGUUUAUAAAUUUGAUGUACGAAGAGAAUAAUCAAAAUUUAAAUAAAAGAAGGAACAAAUUAUAAUGAAUACAUGGACGAUAAAGAAAAAAAAUCACAUAAAACUAAUUCACAAAUAUCAUGUGUUUCGCUUUGAUUCUUUGUUCUUUAAAGUGAAAAUUUCUCAAUUAUAAGAAAUUCAAUAUCGAUCAUGAUAGUUGCCAUUUUUUCAAAAUGCAUUCUUUAUCUAAAAUACCAUUCACUCUAACACAUCAAGACUAAACACCGACGGACUCAUGUUGUAGGAUACGGGGCAACUGACCCCGGUUAAAUUUGAUACUUAACUAUAUGAACAAUUAUUUGUAGUUCAUUUUGUUAGAGCAAUUAAAUGUGAACCCAUUAAUCUAUUGUCAACACAAGUAAUGCUUGUGCUCUGUAGUAUUUAAUUUGUUUGAACUCUUCUUAUUGUUAUUGAGCUACAACUCAAUCUAUUAACAUAUAUAAGCUGUUCUUUUUAUAAUAAUUAAAAAUUUACUAUAGACAUAAAAUAAACCUUUAGAUUAAUUACUGUGAAAAAUAUAUUUUGAUAUAAAUAUUGGUUUUUAAUAUAUAAUUGGACCCCGGUAAUUUUUUUCUCGUAGCCACUACCACUAAACACACACUUUUUAUUUUGGAUAAAAUACUAAAAAAAAAAUUUUAACGUCUGGAUUUAUUAUUUACUGCAAAUUAUGAGAACUGUUAAAUAGACGAUUCUACAACGGAUGAUUCCUUCUGAUCCUUAUUAGAUCCACGACAGACGACACUUUCUUGUUUAUAUUAAUUUAUUUAAUAAACAAAAAAAAAUUACAAAAUUUUGAAAAUAGUUAAGCUCGAAUGGUUUGGACUUGGCCAUCAAAAUGAAAUCAAUACUAAGGGGGUGUUAUUGGUUCCUAAUUUCCAAGGAAUUUUGAUGACUUCAAUCAAAUCCUACAAAGUCAAUAAAUAAA